AAGUUGCGAUGAUUGACAUGCUAAUAAUCCUCAUGAGAAGUAGUUCAUUCAUAUCUUGAACAUAGGUUACAACGGCGCCCUUAAGAUUAAUGACUAUAUAGUUUUGUUUUCUGAUUAAUAUUAGAGUCUCAACAUGUAAAUCCAACUGUAAAGAACAAGAUAUACGCUACUCUUUUUUAUUUUUAGUGAACAAAUAUUUCAGUUUGGUGGGAGGGUGGAGGUGGCGGGCGCUGCCACCACAAUGUUUAGUGAAGAAUGUUUGCGGCAUUCCUUAUCACAAUCUUCAGGCGUGCGAUAGCAAAAGUAUUUGGGAUCCGCAAAACAACACCAACAAUAGCCAUCAUUGCAUUUUGGAAUUAUUCUAGGUGGUCCACACAGUCCAUAUGGUAGACUGAUCUUCCUGUUAUCUAUGUCUUCGAUACUCCCACCUAGAAAAUAUAAAAAAAUUAAAGCAACAUAUAUAUUAUGGGUGCAACUAUAUAUAGAACUAUUCCAUAAAUGCUUAUUUAAUCAACAAACAAGAAAAAGAAAAUAUAAAACAACAACGAAGAAAUGGCAUUUUUUGCUAAUAGCAUAGCCAUUUUUCAAUAUACAUGAAAAAAUAUUAGACAGAACUCAUGAUAAAUACAAAACUAAACAAUGUAAGUAUACGGAAACGAAUUUUCAUCAUAUAUCAUGUUACUUACAUUGAACAUGAGCAACAAAGCAAACGAGAAGAAGUAUCGAGAGUGGCACUAGUAGGUGCACACGUUCCGUGUACUUCUCCAUGCACAUAGACUUGAAUUACUUUAAACAAUCAGUGCUUUUGGAGGCCCAAUAUGUGAGUGCUGAUCCAAGAAUUAGCUGGUGAUUGCUAGCCACAUCGUUCAUUCUUAUAUAUAGAGGGGUAACAAAAUAUUUGCCAGGAAUUUAUUUAAUGGAAGCAAUUAGUUAUCAUUUAUAAUUUCUAUGAAAGUUCGUGAUGAACAUUAAAUGUCAGGCUGCUAAUUUAGGGUCGCAUUGAUCGCCCAAAGUUUAAAAGACUCCCCAAGAGAUGCUCGGAAAUGCACAUUUAAUUUUUUACUUCCUCCGUUCCUAAAUAUAAGUCUUUUUAGAGAAUUCAAUGUGGACUACAUACGGUUAUAUAUAGACGUACUUUAGAGUGUAGAUUCACUCAUUUUGCUUCGUAUGCAGUCCAUAUAGGAAUCCCUAAAGAGACUUAUAUUUAAGAACGGAGGAAAUGAUGUAAUUGCACAUUUAAUAACCUAAUAGUGCCCCAUACAUAAACCAUAUCCAGGCAGGAGAUACACUUACGAACUACUUCAAAUGCAAAGGAAAUCCAAACUGUACAUCCAUAUAAUGGACAUUAAACAAUCGCAUAUCCAUGGCCAUGCUUACAAUACACUAAAGAAUUUAGUACCCACAUUGCUGCGCCCACCAUUUUCGCCCUAGAAUGUUAUGCAAAUAUAUGCACAUUUAAUAACCUAGAAUUGCUCCAUAAAUAGAACAUAUCCAUGGAGAAGAUUUUUCUCUCCGUCCAUUUUUUGCUUCGUACGUUACGCAAAUAUAUGGAUAUUUAAUAACCUAAUAUUGCUCCAUAAAAUAAACCAUAUCCAUGGAGAAGAUUGAUGAAUCCAUCCAUUUCGUUCUCUAAUGUUUGAGAUUGAUGCAAAUAAAUUGAUGCAAAUAAACGUGCACGUGCGUUACAACAGGAAAAACAAAUCCUUGCACACGAUCUCGUAAUUUGUGAACGUGCUGCUAUCGAUGAUAUAAUCGCCCUGACGUUUAGAUGUGCAUGCACUUGCUCUUUGUGCUUUAUUAUGGAUGAAUCGCCAGACUCAAGUCCUCCUCCCGAGUCGAGCGAGGCGGGCUUCUACAGUUCUACCUGGGGGCACGAGCUUUACGCAAAGUCCUUGACAGAAAAGUCAGUGGCUAGAAAAAUGUAUAUGUAGGGCAGAUGAUUUUUUUGAAAGGUCCAGCAUUGCUGGCAUUUAUUGAUUUAGUAGGAGAGCAAAUAAAACAUUGUUGAUGAAGUGAUCGAAUGAAGAAACAAGAGAAGGGAAAGAGAUAGAAUGAAAAUGCUUGUAGGCAGAGCAACUAGUCUAUAUCUCAAAGUGGAUCCCGAAGGGGCUCUCCAAUUUUUUUCCUCCUACAAGGCACUAUAGCUCAGGCGUUGAUCUUAUCGACUUUAUCACAUCCUCGUUUGAUGGUUGGUUCCCCAGAAGACACAGUUAUUACACUCCUGCCAUAUCUCUAAGGCAAUAAAGAUGAUCAUGGACUUGAUUCUUCUUCUUGCAUGGCGCGGUGCACUGCACUUGAUGAUGGAAGAGGUUGCCUUUGUUGUUGUGUUUUCAUUUGCCAAAAUUUUCCUGCGCGAGUGCACCACACCCAUUCCAGCUCGCGUCUGGUUCCAAAUGGCCACUCACGCACUACAACCCUAGAAGAGAUGGAAGGAGGACUCCAGGUUCCUGGUGCAUAGGUGGCAGAAGUAUCCAUUGACCCAACCGCGUCAUUGCAGACAGUUGUUGCACCACGGGCGGUUUUGGUGGAGGAGUCAUAGAAGAUCUUUUCCUUUCCCGGUGCCCAGGCCUUCUAGAGCAUGGAUCAGAGAUUGGUGUUCCUUGCUUGUGGGAAUUGCAGCAGGUAGGCUAAAGCAGUAGAGUACUCUCUUGGGGCUGUGGAAUUCCAUCUGAUAGUGCCAGACACCCCGUCCUCUAAGGUGAUCGUAGCUGCGCUAUUCAAACACGAAAGGUGGAUGAAAUCUUGGACAAUCAUCAUGGUGUUGUCGCGUCUUAGAUAUCCAAUCUAGGUUCCAUGCAACAUUGGAGUGGUGACAGUCAGGUUCUUCCGUCGCGAGUGAUCGAAGAGUGCGGGGAAGGCAGCACAGAGUGGGAGAACGCCGAUCCAGGAGGAGUGCCAGAUGGUUGCCGUAUUGCUUGCGUCGACCGUUACUGACGUGGCCAUGAAGAGGGAGCGGUCCGCAUCAUCGUAGGUGGAAGGUGUGCCAGCCCAGGGCCUUUGUCUGCAAUCUAGCACUACAGGAAUCAGGAACUUUGCCGUCUGCCAUGGCUGACGGCAAAGGCAUGACUGGCGGACGACAAAGGCUUUUGCCGUCAGCCAGUAGACGGCCCCACGUCCGGCUGAAUGAACUACGGCAAAAGGGUUGCUUUGUCGUUUGCUUUUAUAAAGCGGACGACAAAGAACUUUGUUGUCAGCCAUCCAGGGCAAGCAGACGGCAAAGGACAUGGACGACAGAGGUGUAGGGUUAGGUCCGUUAGGGGGUUAACAGCGUGCUUUGCCGUCUGCUGUAGACGACAAAGAUGCAAAUGUCUUUGCUGUCUGCCAGCAGACAACAAAGAUCCAAAUAGGCCAGCCCAGGUGCCCCCGGUAGCUACCCCAUGGCUUGCUAUGCCGUCCGCUGGCAGACGACAAAGAUGCAAAGGUCUUUGCCAUCCAAAUAGGCCAGCACAGUGCCCCCAGGUUGCACAGGUAGAUGCCACGUGGCAGUUUUGCCGUCUGCCAGCAGACGGCAAAGUGCCUGUAUUACUCCUGUUAAUUCUGUUUUUUCUNNNNNNNNNNNNNNNNNNNNNNNNNNNNNNNNNNNNNNNNNNNNNNNNNNNNNNNNNNNNNNNNNNNNNNNNNNNNNNNNNNNNNNNNNNNNNNNNNNNNNNNNNNNNNNNNNNNNNNNNNNNNNNNNNNNNNNNNNNNNNNNNNNNNNNNNNNNNNNNNNNNNNNNNNNNNNNNNNNNNNNNNNNNNNNNNNNNNNNNNNNNNNNNNNNNNNNNNNNNNNNNNNNNNNNNNNNNNNNNNNNNNNNNNNNNNNNNNNNNNNNNNNNNNNNNNNNNNNNNNNNNNNNNNNNNNNNNNNNNNNNNNNNNNNNACAUAUACAUACCAAACCAAAAGUCCAUAUCCAACAUAUACAUAGCCAACAUAUCCAACAAUUAAGCCAACAUAUCCAACAACAAGCAUACAAUGGUUUCAUCCAUCAAUACAUAUAUAGGUAGCAAGUUUCACAUUGUUCAUCCUACAAAAUAAAAACAAAAAGUAAGGACAAGGAGAAGAGUAGACUCCAUCAACGCAAGCUUCCGUGGUAUUAGGCAAAUCUGCAAAUUGGGAAAGACAAAAGUUACACUACUAGAAAAAGGCCUACUAAUGGCGCACCGGUUUUGCCUACUAAUGGCGCACUAUCGGUGCGCCAUUACUAGCACGCCAUUAGUAUUUUUUACUAAUGGCGCACCACUGGUGCGCCAUUAGUAUCUGGUAUACUAAUGGCGCACCAUGUAGUGCGCCAUUAGUAUAGCCCACGGUGCGCCAUUAGUAUCUGGUAUACUAAUGGCGCACCACAUAGAAGUGCGCCAUUAGUAACAUUUUUUUCCAAAAUUUUUUUUAAAAUUUUUUUAGAUUUUUUUUUCAAUUUUUUCUUAAUCUCGGGUCAAUAUGCUUAAUCUCAAUUCACUACGGAUUAAUCUCGGGUCAAUAUGCUUAAUCUUGGGUCAAAUCGCACUCCAUGGUCAAACUUCCCAAAAGGUCACCCAUCCUCACACUACUCCAGCCCAAGCACGCUUAACUUCAUAGUUUUAUCCAACCCCAGCAACAGCUCACUUCACAGGCACUUGUUGAUAUAUCUAGCAUAUCAAUCCUAUUAUACCUUGUUGAUGUCUAGGAUUUUGUUCAUGUUCAUGAGUGUGAUGAAAUUUUAAAAAAUAUUUCAAACUUCCCGAUCAUAUUAGGUAUCAUUUUUUGAAAAAAAUUCAAAAAAAAAUUCAAAACCAAAUUUUUUUCUGUUACUAGUGGCGCACCACAUCCACGGUGCGCCACUAGUAAGUUUGAAAUUUUUUGAAUUUUUUUGCCGCUAGAUCUUGAAAGCCCCGUAACUUUUUUUCUGUUAGGUUUUUGGGGAUUUUGAAAAUGUUUAACGGGGUUUCCCCCGUUAAAUUUGGAUGUAACUUUUCGAGUAGAUGAUUUUUCAUAUAAAAAACUUUUUCAUGCGAGUUCGUAUGCAAAAGUUAUGCCCAUUUUACAAAUUUCCAGAGAGAUUUUGCAAAUAAAGUCGAAAUUCAUAUUUGUAAAUUUUUCCAAAAACUAGAGCACAUAUCACAUGGGAAACAUAUUAUCUUUUAUUUUUUUGACAUUUCCAUCAUUUUCUUUUAUUUUUUAUUAAACUGAAAAGGCGAUCCAGGGGGGGUGCAUUCGGUGUUGGGGCAAGUUAGUAGUGGCGCACCGUGGGGUGGUGCGCCAUUACUAGUUUAACUAGUAAUGGCGCACCACACCCACGGUGCGCCAUUACUAGUUUUGAAAAAAAAUAAAAAAAAUUGAUAUUUAUUUUGAUUUUUUUUUGAAAAAAACUUAGUAAUAGCGCACCAGUGGAAAGUGCGUCAUUACUAGUUAAAACUAGUAAUGGCGCACCGAGACAUGGUGCGCCAUUAGUAACAAUUUUUUUUAUUUUUUUUACUUUUUUUUCAAAACUACUAAUGGCGCACGACGGAUGUGGUGUGCCAUUAUUAUGUCAAUUAGUAAUGGCGCACUAUGCAACGGUGCGCCAUUAGUAACAAUUUUUUUUAUGUUUUUUUCAAAACUACUAAUGGCGCACCACACACCAGGUGCGCCAUUAGUAAUAUAUUACUAAUGGCGCACCGAGACAUGGUGCGCCAUUAGAAUAUAGUAAUGGCGCACCACAUCACAAGUGCGCCAUUAGUGGCCAUUCCAUCUAUAGCCUUUUUUGUAGUAGUGUUAGAAGAAGAAGAAGAAGAAAAAGAAGAUGCCUCUUCUUUGUCUUCUUCUUCUUCUAGCUAAGGUAACCUAGGUAAUUAUGCCAUUUUUUAGCUAACUAAGCAUAUUAAGUCGGUUUGAAGGAAAAAACUGCUAAGUGUAGGUCAUUUUAGAGCUAACCUAGGUAAAUAGGUUAUUUUGGAGCUAAGUAACGUUAUUAUGUCAUUUUCGAGGAAAAUAAGUUAAGAAUAUGUCAUUUUGGAGGUAACCAAGAUUAUUAUGCCAUUUUUUACCUAAGUAUGCUAAGUAUGUCAUAAAUGAACUAAAUAAGCUAAGUAUAGGUCAUUAUUGAGCUAACCUAGGUAGUUAUGCCAUUUUUUAGCCAACUAAGCAUAUUAAGUCAUUUUGGAGGAAAAAUGGUAAGUGUAGGUCAUUUUAGAGCUAUCCUAGGUAAAAUCGGCCAUUUUGGAGCUAGGUAAGGUUAUUAUGUCAUUUUGGAGGAAAAUAAACUAAGUAUAUGAAAAUUUGGAGCUACAAGGUAAUUAUGCCAUUUUUUUACCUAAGUAAGCUAAUUAUGUCAAUAUGUCAUAAAUAAACUAACUAAGCUAAGUUUAGGUCAUUAUUGAGCUAUCCUAGGUAGUUAUGCCAUUUUUAGCUAACUAAGCAUAUUAAGUCAUUUUCGAGGAAAAAAUGCUAAGUAUACGUCAUUUUAGAGCUAACCUAGGUAAAAUAGGUCACUUUGGAGCUAAGUAAGAUUAUUAUGUCAUUUUCGAGGAAAAUAAGCUAUAGGUCAUUUUGGAGCUAAAUAGGUCAUUUCUUAAGCUAAGUAUACAUUUAUUAAGCAAAACACUUGGGAAAACUUACCGUCAUCACGGAGGUGAAGGACCGGUCGCGGUCGAGCCAGUGGCAGACGGAGAAGGAUCGGUCGAUGCUUGUCGGGAGGCACGCUGCACCAAAGAUCAUUUGCAAUAUCUCGUUAGCAUGAUGCAACUCAAAUGUGAAUACUAGCAACUAAUGAACAUUCAAAUGAUACUCACCGUGGUCGCUGUAGCAAUCUGGGGCAUCGGCGGAGGGGUCUGACAGUUGGCCUGGCACACGGACUGCACAUUCGGUUUUCAAGAGUCAGUCAUAUUAGUUAGUAAUGAAACGAACAUUACGUGCAUGAUUUGGCCAAUAUGCAGGAGAAACUUACCACGAGAGCUCGUAUAUGGCCCGGUGAGGCGCGUCGUUCCGGUUCAUCUCCUCCUCCAACAGGCUAGCCGUCCUCUCCUCCAGGUCCCUCUCCCUCUCUGUCGCCUACAUGUUUGCCUCCGCCAGAAGCGCCUGGGUGUUCAAUCUCUUUUUCUCAAGAACAACCUGCAACACCACUCCUCGUUAGCAUUGUAAUCAUCGACGACCGCACACACAAUGUAAUGGAUGAAAGGUAUAUGAGUCCAUAUAACUAUCUGGAAGGCGAGCUCCAUUGGCCGUGGACGAGGCCUUAUCUCAGGAUCGGAGCUCGUUUGGCGCUUCUUGAUCUCCGAGCUGCCAUCAGACCAAACACAUUGAACCCAUCCGUGCUAAUGGUGACUCGAGGAUGCCUUGGACCUGCCGCUUUUUCCGCAUGUAGUGCAUCGAAGCGUUUCCACGCUUCACCAUCCGAUGUGUGCAUCAUCAUUAGAUUCCCAUAUGCAUCUAGUUGGGUUCUUUUGGCCAUUUUGUGCCAUGCCAUCUGUCUAGUCGUCUCUUCGACCAUGAAAAGACAUUAAAGUCUUGAUACGAUUGGCAUAUACCGAAGAACAUUAACGGGGAUUUUGGUCUGCGUCUUCUCACCCAUAUCGUUGUCUACCACAACAUACCUAGAUGACUUGCAAAUGGGACAAUAGUUCAAGUCCGCAUACUGAAGCCUAAAUAAGGCACAUCCUUUCUCACAAGCAUGUAUUUUCUCUGCCCAAGUUGAAUUGAGCCUUUAGAGCCAUUAUUUGUGAGAUGUCAUCCAGCUGACAAAGCUCGAUGUGCUCGUGUAGAGGACGUUUUGAAGACUCCAACAUUUCAUUGAAGGCCUUUGCAGAUUCCUCCAUCUCAUUGUCCGAGUCAUGAUCAUCAUCAAAGUUUUGCACCAUGUCUUCCAUCUCGGUACCAUGAUCAUCGGUGUGACGACGAACUACCUCGGCUCUGGCACGUUGGGCAAACUCACCAUGAAAUGUCCAGACCAUAUAACCAGGCAUACAACCAAACUUCUGCAUUUGUUUACUCAUUUCAACCUCGUUCCUCUUAUGAUAGUUGUCGCACCGGACACAGGAGCACCAUUUUUUUCUCUGGCCAUUUGCAAAUGCGGCUCUCACAAACUCCUUGGUUUUUGUUAACCAUUCACUGGUCAUGUCUUCCUGACUAGUGUGAUCUGUGUACAUCCACGCACGAUCACUCAUAUUACCUAGCUAUUGGACACACAAGAAAUAUAUACAUAAUUCAGCAAACUAUAUCCAUCAUUUAAUGGAGUUUGUCAGUUUUAUUAAGUCCAUGCAACCUAGACGCUAAUAGGUAAAGAUAGAUCCUAAUCCCACCCGAGUAUGUGUAGAUUGGAUUCGUUUUCCCAUGCUCUGCUCCAGAUCCGACGUAACAUUUCGGCAGCACCUUCCCGCCGUUCUUCUGAUACACGUCUCGACAAUAAGCAGAGAGGAUGUGUACCUGGAGAACAACAGGGAGGCACUGGCGAAAUUCUGCAUUGGAUCCAGAGCAGAGCAUAUGGGAAAACGAACUCAAUCUACACAUACUCGGGCUGUCCAUGGAUAAUGUUGGACAAUUAGAAAGAAUCACGGUUAUAAAUAUGCAAAUUCUUGCAUAUUUAUACAUGUAACCCUUUCGAACGGGAGACGCAUAGUGGUCACGCAUACUGAUGAUUGAAGACACCUAUAGCUAGCAAGUUUCAUCAGCACGAAGACUAGAAUAGAGCAAAUGAAGGGGAGGAGGAGAUGUCAUUUGUUCUCACCCACGAACGCAGGGGCGGAGUUCGUCGAACGCAUGGGGAGGCCAUGAACACCAGACCCUCGCAGCGACGAAACAAUUGCACAUUUAAAACCACCCGAUCAACAGAAAUAUGAUGUUUUUUAUAACAAAAUCGAAAAAUAUAUAACCUAACUAAUAAUUCACAAAUAUAUGACCCCGUUGGCCUCCGGAAGGCCAAACAGCACCUUUUCGGGAGGUGUCGGGGGUCGGGAUGUUGGGGUGUUGUGUCAGGGUCGGGGUGCUAUGCCGGGGUUGGGGUGCUGUGUCGGGGUCGGGGUAUCGGGUCGGGGUCGGGGUGCCGUGUCCGGGUCAAGGUGUCGGGGUCAGGGGAUCGGGGUCUGGGUCGGGAUGGCAAAUCCUCGACCCCUCGGGCCCUCGACCAUAGACCCCUUUUCCCCUCGACCCUCAACCCCUCGACACCUCGAUCCUUGAACCCUUGACCCUCGACUCCUUUUCCCCCGAUCCAGGACCCUGUCCACCCUCAGCGACAGUCGACUAUCGACCCCUUGGCCACCCUCGACCCCUUAGCGACCCUCGACCCUCGGCGACCCUCGACCCUUGGCGACCCUCUUUUUCUACUUUUCCUACUUCUUUUUUCAUCAUCUUCUUCUACUUCUUUUUUUCAUCAUCAUCAUCAUCUUCUUCUUCUUUGUCUUCUUCUUCUUCUUCUUCUUCUACUACUACUACUACUACUACUACUACUACUACUACUACUUAUUUUUCUUUUUUUUUUCAAUUUUCUUCUUCUUCUGCCUUUUUUUCCUUUUUCCUCUUCUUCUACUUCUUCUUCUUUUUUUCAACUUUCUUCUUCUUCUAAUUAUCUAAACCUAAACCUAGCACUAACCUAAACCUAUCAAUAACCUAAACCUAAACAGCAAAGAAUAGUAAAAAACAAAAAAAAUCUCACAUUGGCUCCAGCGGUGGUGGAGGAGGGCCGAUGGAGGAUGGUCAUAGGGAGGGUGGAGGAUGGUCGUAGGGAGGACGGCCGCGGUAAGGGUGGCGGCAGCGCGGCCUGGUUCCGGUGGCGGGGCGGGNNNNNNNNNNNNNNNNNNNNNNNNNNNNNNNNNNNNNNNNNNNNNNNNNNNNNNNNNNNNNNNNNNNNNNNNNNNNNNNNNNNNNNNNNNNNNNNNNNNNNNNNNNNNNNNNNNNNNNNNNNNNNNNNNNNNNNNNNNNNNNNNNNNNNNNNNNNNNNNNNNNNNNNNNNNNNNNNNNNNNNNNNNNNNNNNNNNNNNNNNNNNNNNNNNNNNNNNNNNNNNNNNNNNNNNNNNNNNNNNNNNNNNNNNNNNNNNNNNNNNNNNNCGGCGGCGAGCCUGGCUCCGUGGGGCGGGGAUGGGUGUCAUCGGGAACGGGGCGCGGGGAUGGCCGGGGCAGCGCGCUGCGGGUGAGGUGGGGGGAGACAAAGAGGGGGUGAGGCGGCGAGGCGACGGGGCGGCGGUAGGCGUGGUUGGGGUGGUGGCGGUCGUCGGUUAGGAAAGAGGGAGAGAAAGAGAGAGAGGGUGACGGCGGGCGCGGCCGUUAGUUAAAUUGAAGCUUUGCCGUCUACCCCCUCUUUGCCGUCUGCUAGCAGACGGCAAAGAGGGGGUCGUUAGGGUUACCGGCCAGUGGGCGAACCUCCCUCUUUGUCGUCUGCUAGCAGACACAAAGCUUCUUUGCCGUUUGCUAGCAGACGACAAAGAGGUGGUUGAUGGGAAAUAUGUUAUUUGCCACCAGCCAACUCUUUGUUGUCUGUUUUUCGGAAGCUGAUGGCAAAGCCACCCUUUGCCUUCAGCUAGCAGACCACAAAGAAGUGGUUGAUGGCAAAUCUUUUGAUUCCAGUAGUGUAAAUGUCCCUGUGUCAUCUCCUCGAAAAUUAGGAGGACAUCUCCUCAUGGCUAAAAGUUUCUUCUUUUAAUGGAUACUAGGGAAAAGAGCCUGUGUGUUGCAAAGGGAGAAAAAUAACACACAUUUUUUAUUAACCUAUGUGUUGUCGCUUAUCGUCCCCAUCCCCGGUGGCGGUGGUCUCAGUGCUCACACAAACAUAACGCAUUUGAGUGUGGUCAAUCCUAAGGCGUCUCUCUCUCUCUCUCUCUCUCUCUCAUGCGCGCGCUCGGUCGGUCAGAAUAAGAUGAGAUUUUUUUUCUCAUGCGAUGUUUUUCAUAGGUGUGCAUGCGUGGUUAUUGAUAUUUUCUUUUGUGUCAAUCUGGUUCUAGUGCCUGUUUAUUUGCAAUCUUGAUCGCCACGAGUGCAAAAGAAAAACAGACCGCGUGCUAUAGAUUAAGUUGCACCUAAAAUAAUAUAUUCAGAUUCUACACAUUUUUCUCAUCAAAUUUUAUAUAUAGCAUGUUAAAAUAGGACUUACGGUCUAAAAGAUAUGGAUUAUUUGGAAAAGCAUUCGUUUUAGAUUGAUCACAGAUUGAUUAACCAUAGAUUAAUUUUGCACACAAUUUUUUUUAAAAAUACUAACAUGUAAAACAAUAUCUUAUUCAGAUUCUACAAAUUUUUCUAAUCAAAUUUCAUAUGUAACAUGUUAAAAUCAGGGCAACGGUUUAAAAUAUAUGGAUAAUUUGGAAAAGCAUUCGUUUUUGGUAGACUGCCAAUUGAUUAACCAAAAAUGUCGGGGUUUUCUAUUAAAACAUGAAAAACGAUUCGUUUGACUUAUAUAUUGAUGGUGGGUUAAUUACCUCAAAAGUCAGGAGGUUUUCAGAAAAAACAACAAAAGGGGGUUAAUUCGCGUAAAAUUUAGGGUGUUUUUUUGUAAAUGAGAUGACGGAAGGGCAUAGGCGAUAGCCCCUUUAUUAGGGAAAAUAUACAGGAGCUCCUGCAUGCUCCACACCCCUAAACGAAUAUUAAACCAGAAAAUACCAAAAAAGUAAAAAACCUAAACAUUGGGAAUAUCAAACCUGGGUUCUCAAUCUACUCCCGCAUGAAGUUUCGUGGAAAAAUACCAGUAAAUGUAUCUGUGGCGAAGAAAAUAGUGUUGAAAAAAAUCCUUACAAACAGUUUUUUCUAUACAUAGGAAAAUUUUGGCUUUUUUUCACGAAUAUGUUUCCUGGUAAAUUUUCACGAAAUUUCACAAAGGAGUAGAACGGAAACCCAGGUUUGAUAUCCCAAAAUCCCCGGGGGGUUUUUUUUCAAAUUCUCGGUAUUUUUUUUUGGAUUUUGAUGUUCAUAUAGGGGUGUGGAGCACCCGGGUGCUACAAAUCCGCUUCCCUUUAUUAGUAGGUAUAGAUACUACUAUUUGAACUACAAAAAGUCUUACAUCAUUGAAAAUAUUCAAGAUGAAACAAAGUGAUGUCACUUUCUCUGAUUUUUUUAAUAAAUAUUAGUAUUUAUAGAAAAAAGCAAUGUAACCCUCAGUUAGAAAUUUCAGAAGUACUACGGGCAUCGACAAGAAAUUGGUGGUUAUCGUUGCUACCGGCAUGGACAACGGUCGCUCGUAGUCGGAAUAAAAUCUUUGACGCUCGCGACAAUUAGCUCCUAAAAUAUAUCAUAGUCCAUCAUCAGUCUAUCUCUCCUCCUGGUCCCGACUUGUUGACAUUUCCGAUCUCUUCCUGGAUAGCAAACCAGCAAAUCAGCGUGAUAUGUGUGAAGCCUAAAAAAUCUGCAUAAAGAGCUUAGAAGCCGGGAACAUAUGGGCUGGCUUGGUUUGCACAUAUGUAGGAUGAAGUGAACGUAAAAUAAUAUCAUCGAAGCGGAAAAAACCAAGAAUAUAACCUCUCUUUAUUACUAGAUAUAGAUUUCUACGAAGUAAUGUGCAUAUAUCAGUUAAUAUAACCUCUCUUUAUUACUAGAUAUAGCCGGGUUCUUGUUCUGCAAGCACACAUAUAAGCCGGGUUCCGGAUUCUGGUUUUUGGAUUCCGUCUAAGAAUUAUAUGUCAUUACUGGGACUGUUCUGCGAAUGGUGCCAAUCCCCCAUGUUGUCUAAAUACCAGUCGAUUGAUUUUGAUUGCAGUCUAAGUCAAAAAUUUCCUCCAGUGAUGCUAUGCCACGUGUCAUUAAUCUGUUUUGAGUUUUGUUUCUAAAAUGUGGACUGAUUUGUUCCCUCAUCUCGGCCAAAUUGCGUUAUUGGCCUCCCUAGCUAACGGCCUGGUUUGUGUUUCGAGGGGAAUAUUUCAGAUCCGAUUACGGCUGCUCCCUGGUCCAUUUGGUACUAGCGCCCGCCACUCCCUACUUUGUUUGGGCAGUGUCGGCUACUGCCCCAGGAGCCUGAAAUAAACAUUAGACACUGCAUACUGAACACGUAUAGACCACCUGGGUAAAAUUCUGUGGAGGAAAAAUGGCCACUGCCACUAAAUAGGCACUAUCAAGUAAAAAAAAAGAAGGAUUGCUCUAACUAGAGGAACCAUUUCCAUGCAAUUCUCCACAGAAACCUUGAUAGGACCACAGUUACAUUUUUUUGUUUUGGAAAAGGAGGUUAAGACCCCCGGCCUCUGCUUCAAUCGAUGCAUACAACCAUCUAUAUUUGUUAUUCGAAAAAGGUUUAAAAGAAGUAAAGAACAUACAUCAAGCCAUCCGAAGCCACCACACCUACAUGGCAAACAAGAACUGAAACUAUGAAACCAUACACUGUUUAGUUCUGCAGUAAAAAAAUGUGCAUGGCUGAAAUAAAUCUAGGAAAUUACAUGACACAAAGGGACUGCUACUGAAUGAAUACUAAGAGAAUCUCCAGCCGCGCCCCCAAGAGCCCCCAGGGCUACUUUUGGUGUCCGACAACGUAAAAAGGGCAAAAAAACGGCCAGUCGUGCCCCCCAAGCGCCCCCAAGACCUCAAAAUAGCGCCGGCAAACCCAGGCGAAACCCAGCGCGCUGGGGGGCUGUUGGGGGCGCCGGCGAAAGCAACAACCAAUCAUAUUCCCCCACGCGUCCUUUUUCUUGGCCCACCCAAUAACUUUUUGCCUGAUGAUUGUCUUGGAGGCAGCAACGGCUGGGAAGACGUACUCGCGUUUCAUCCGGUGAAAACGUUUUGCCCCCCAAGACGUGCUAUUUUUGGCCCGGCGAUUUUCCUGGGGGCCUUCAACGGCUGGAGAUGCUUUAAGCCAUUGGAAACAGAAGGAGAACAAAAACUGACACUGUCUAAUCAAACAAACACUUACUUCCUCUGUUCCAUAAUGUAAGACAUUUUUUGCCAUUACCUUGUGAAAGCGAGGGAGUACAAGAUAAAAAGAGGACUAAAAAAACUGUUCCUCUGGUGUUGUGGUGUGGUCAAUCCACGCACAGCAAGGACUGCACUACUAUCUGCUUGAAAGAAGACCUCCCGCUUGACGACGUAUUGUUACCUAGUAGACUUGAAACAGGCUUUCGUCACCUAGGAAAAGAGUAACAGUCGUUGAGUUAAAAGCUGCAAAUUUUUGGUGCAAGUAUAACUGAACAAAAGCUGAUAAUGAAAUAAGGAGUUAAAACGUUAACAAUGAAAAUAUGGACUUAGAACAUUAACUGAGAGUCAAAAUAAGGACUUAGAAACUAAGGAAUUUACAAACUCAAUACAGCAAAAUGAAAAGUACACCCUCUGUUUUUAAAUAUAAGACGUUUUGGAAAUUUAAAUUAAACUGCCAAAACGUCUUACAUUUGUGAAUGGAAGUACUCCUAGUAAUUAAUUUUGAAAACCUCAGUGUACCUCUAACUCCAUAAAAGUACUAAACCAAGAAAUGGUAAUACCCAAAAUGAUGAAUAAACAAAAAAUAGUAAUAUUGAAGUUAACUGAAUCCCAAGAUUGAAAAGAAACUAAAAUGAAGAAAACGAUGAUACCAUAAGCCCAUGAAAAAUUAAGUUCUCUUGCAUUAUGUAAUUGAUAUAUUUGCGAUAUUAAUAUAUUCCCUUUGUCAAAAAACACAAAUGCAAAAAAACAUGAAAAAACAUUCAGGGUUUUGAACUACACAUAUUUUAGUUCUCUUGCAUUAUAUAUACGAAAUGUGAAGCAAAAAAAUCGAUAUGGGUGUUUUUACAGAAGUAUGCGGAAAAAAAAACCUGCUAAAACAUGGAGAUCUUUCUUGUUUAGUCUGAGUGGCAAAAUAUACACAUGCAUCCACUACCACGGGGCAAGAAAAAACCCAAUGAUCGUCUAGAUUGAUUACUAGAACUAAGAUUGACUAAACAUAGCAGAUCAAUAGCAGAAUGUUGAAGGGAAUUAUCCUGAAGAAACAGAUGAUACUCCAGAUUGACGAGAACUAUAAAUAGCUGAGACAAUCAGUGGCUGAGCUACAUGCAAUCUUAAGGGGCCGCUAUGAGUAGGUAAUUACGCUUGGACAUCGAAUUAGUCGUCUUUACGCUUUCACAUUUGCAAUAACAAGCAUCGACUAUGUCGUCUUCCACUUUGCUUUCAAAUUAGCAAAAAGAAAAACCUUGCUCAAGAAACAAAAUAAAAGAAGUAUCACCAAGCAAACAUCCGCAAAGUUUAACACCCCAUGCUAGUUCCUCCAAUUUAUUCUUCAUAAGGAUCUCACUACAGAAGAAAAGAAACUUUAUUUCCUUAUAGGUUGAAUGUUUGCAGUUGAUGCACCGCCCCACCCCACGAUACAAACAAGAAGUUACAUAGACAUGGAUACUGAAAAUCGAAAGGAAACAUCCUCCUACACUAGUAGAAAUCAGCCCAUUAAUCCCGGUUCUAGAGGCCCUUUAGCCCCGGUUCUGGAACCGGGACUAAAGGGUCGGGACUAAAUGCCAAAACCUUUAGUCCUGAUUCGCUUACGAACCGGGACAGAAGGGGCUCCACGUGGCCGCUGCGGGGCGCCCACGCAGGAGGCCCUUUAAUCCCGGUUGAUAACACCAAGUGGGACCAAAAGGCUGCCACGCGUGAGUAGCUCGCAGGCGCUGGGGUUUUUGNNNNNNNNNNNNNNNNNNNNNNNNNNNNNNNNNNNNNNNNNNNNNNNNNNNNNNNNNNNNNNNNNNNNNNNNNNNNNNNNNNNNNNNNNNNNNNNNNNNNNNNNNNNNNNNNNNNNNNNNNNNNNNNNNNNNNNNNNNNNNNNNNNNNNNNNNNNNNNNNNNNNNNNNNNNNNNNNNNNNNNNNNNNNNNNNNNNNNNNNNNGUUUUGGAGGGUUAAUUUAGGGGUUUCAUAUUGUGUUAGCUAGCUAAUAGAGAGAAGUGACCUCUCUUUCUCCGGGCUUGGUUUACGCUAGCUACUAUACAUAUAGAGAGAACUCGACACGCUAGCUAGUAAGCAAAUGAAGAAACCAUUAAUUACACAAGAUCGUCAUGAACAUAUACAGAGAGAAAGUGACCUCUCUUUCUCCGAGAGAUUGGUUGAACAACAAGUUUUCGUAUAUCGAUCCGACGCUACUACAUAUAUACAAUAUAACAUCUUUUACAAUCCCUAACAUCUAUAAUCAAUUUCCACAUGGUAUUCUCUCUUCUUAUUUAUGAUAUGGUCAAGAAAGAAUCCCGCCAAUUCCUCUUAAAUUGCUAGAAUGACAUCAUGUGGUAGGAGUUCAUCCCGCGUCUGCCACAUCUAACUUAAAGAAGGGGGUCAAUACAUAUAUAUGAAUGAAACUCAACAAAAGAUAUGGUAAUAAAAUAAAAUUGUGAAUAUUAUUGUUUGCGUACUUCAUAUUGUUUUGCAGAGUAGCCCUGCUGAGAGGUUGCGUUGUAGAUGAACUCGCAAAUGUAGUAUUCACAUAGAUUAUUCCCGCCUUCCUGCCACAAGACCUUUACGAGAAAUAGAGUUCAAUCAAACUGAUAAUCAAGCAUGAUAAAUGGUAUUGAUGAAACUAGAGUAAAUGGGAGAUGCGUGGAACUAGCUCGUACUACUUACUUUCGGGUGUGUAAGUCGCAGCUCCCUCGGCAGUCCCAAAACUAUUCCGAUGAACUCUUUCCAAACCCUGUCAGACAAAGAAAAUAAUUACUUGAUAUAAGGAAAUGAACAAAGUUGCCGAUAUGGUGCAAUAAUGGUCGAUUGAACUUACUUCUGGAGCAUUGCAGUUGUGCCCGCAUAGUCCUGGGGAUCUUCUCGUCUCGAGUCUAAGAGAAUUACUACUCCCCGGUCAAGCUUAAUCUCUAGCAGAAUAAAGUGAAAGUUGCGCACGUAUGCAUAACUCAUCAGUUACAUUACUAUAAUUAACCUCGAGUAAGCGAAACCGGAUAUGCACAAAACAGUAACACUCACUUGAAGUUGUAAGGAAAGAGUAUUUUUCCCUUUGUUUUGGUUUCAAAGCAAGGAUUGUAGCAAGUUGUCUUCGGUAUCUGUGUUUCCAUUUUUAACGGACCAAUCAUUUAUGGUAUUUGGGUUAAUGAACCCAAUGUCAUAGAUUUGUUUUUUACAUUCGACCAUCUUCAAUCUGCAUAAUAUAGUGAUGAUAAUUAUAUAUAUAUGCAAUGAAAGAGUUGAGCUAUAGAGACUUAAUUACAGAAGUAAUACUUACAGACAGUAGCAAGUCAUGAGUUGUUUGUCGAGGGCAUCUUGAUUGUAUAAUUGGAAUAACUCCACAAAUAGAACAGGCAACACCUCAGUUCUAACGAGGUCGUGCUCCUCUUUAAUUCCCAGCAUCAAAGUAUCCUUCCCAGACUUGCUGCAGGUAUCCAUGUACCAUUCAUGCAAUCGUCACAUCAUCGUUGUUAGAGGAGGAGGAUCAGGUUUGACGAGAGGCUUCCCGUACUGGAAUCUAAAGAUGUCCACCUCCAUUAUUUCAAACUCUACAUCAUCGCUCAAGUAAUCAGCAGGAUUGGUACCGGGCACUAGCCACGGAUGAUUAGUGACAAUAUCACUAGACACCCUAAGCGGGGGGCACGAUUGCUUCGCUUGUUCGCCGAGCUGGGGAAAUGUUUUCCCACUUCUUCGUUGUGCUAAUCUUGCAUCACUGGAAGUACUUCUCGACCGCUGCGCUUCCUUAUAUGUCCUUUCAAAAAUGCCCUCAUGGUUGGAUUGCGGCGGAGGCGGUGGUGGUCACUUAAGGGUAUCCAGAGUGCGCUUCACUUUCACCGGAUCUAACGUUUCCUUUGGAGGUGGAGGUUUCCAUGCCAAAAAGUCCCUCACUUCGGCAGCACAGAUGUUUGCAUUUUCCUUGUCGGCCCUCUCAUAUGGUAACUUUUCUGGAGCCUUGAGACAUGGACCAAAUUUGAUUGCUUCCCACCUCUGCUUGUACUGCUAGCCACCGGAGCGGCGGCGUCUCUCUACUGCCAUUGCUGACGCGACGGAGUCCGCUGACACACCAGAGGAGGCGGAGUGCUCCGACGUGCCGGAGGAGGCGGAGUGCCGUCACGCGCCAGAGGAGGUGGAGGAGGAGGCGGAGUGCCCUGAUCACUCGUCGGAGGAGGAGACGGAGUGCCCUGAUCACACACCAUAGGAGGAGGCGGAGUGCCCUGACUCGCCGGAGGAGGAGGAGGAGGCAUCUAGGUUGGAAGCUUGAUGUACUCCUUCCUUCAUAGACAGGUACUCCUUAAAGCAUUUCGUCAUUAGCUCGCAAAUUUCAGCCUCCGUGAUACUAUCCACGGGGUAGCGAGGAGCCCUGAAAUUAGGCUGAACGAGCUCCGUGGAAGCCACGCUGCUUCUCCGCUGGUGGGGUAGCUUCUGAGGCAACGUCGAAGCAAGGAUCUUCGUGCCAUGAGAUGGUUGGCUGGUAGCUCGCUGGCUCUCAAGUUCCUCUAGCGUUGCUAUUCUUGCAUUGAGCUUCUGAAUUUCGCUCGCUUUUGCUUUCCUCUUUCUCUCUCGGGUUCUAUAACCACAGCUGCCAGGAAACCCAUGCACCCAUGAAACGGAGCUUGGUGUGCCUCGUGUUCGUCCAGGGUGCUCAGGAUUACUGAGGGCCUCUGUCAGCUCGUCCUUCUCUCUGUCGGGAAUGAGCGUCCCUUUCAGCGCUGCCUGAUAUAUUUCUGAAGCUUCUUUAUGGGUAUUGCAAGUUGCUCGUCCGUCCAAACACACUCCCCUGUUUCUGGGUCCAAAGUUCCCCCAAUCCCGGAGAACCAAGUCCUUGCAUGGUCUGGCCAGUUAAAUGUCGCUGGUUGGACCCCUUUAACAAGCAGGUCUUGCUCAGCUUUGUCCCACAAUGGCCGAGGCGAGAGGAGGAAGGGAGGAGGGAGGAGGGAGGAGGUAUGGAAAAUCAAAGGAAACAUCCUCCUAUGUCAUCUUCCCAACUUUUCUAAAAAUUUACACCACAUAACUUCCUAAAAAAUACUUGUAACCAAGCAAUUGUCGAUGGGUUGGACACCCCCCAUGCUAUAACCGAGGAAUUCUUUUAUGGUACAUCUACAGAUCUACUUCUGGGAUUGUGUAGUAUUGAAUCAUCUCAGCAUUUGAUUAGCGGGUUAGUUUUGUCAAAAGAAUAAAUCCUAACCGCGGUGACAAUCCUCGUCGGGUCUCGUUGUUGCCGUUGCCGGUCCUCCCAUGCCCUUGUAGUGGGAGCCCCAAGUCUCCAACCGUGCAUCGAUGCAACCAGCAAGCCACGGUGCCGUCGCCGCUGCAACUCCAUCUGAGGUGCUCCUGCUGCGUCCAGCGGCCGCACGCGUGUCUCGACAUUGGUGCGGUGGUCCUUCCUGAACUGUGUGGAAAACAAUCGGCUGAUCAUUUAACUGCAUCCGGACAUGAGCAAUCAGUCUAUUGUACAUGGUGACAUCCGGACAUGAUAAAUCAGUCAAUCGUUUCUGUUGCAUCUCAUCUCUGCAGGAUCAGUCCCUGCAGUUCCGUCAGAGCAGGAGAACAAAACACACGGAUUUCUCAAUGCUUGUAGAGUUUUGGUAUCUAGAGCAUCUACAACCGGACCUCUCUGCCCGUUCCAAACGCCUGACACGCUGCCCGGUCAGUGUCCGGACAAAAAAAGUCAUCCAACCGGGCGCCCCAUAUCCAGUCCAAAUGCCGGACUGACCGGCCCCAUAUCUAGCCGAUAGGGUGGAUUUGGCGACGCCCCGACGCGUUCGGACACGUUCGUCAUGUCGGAUCUGACCCACUCUAGUCCACUUGACCCCACAGAAGUUGGACCCUAUCUGCACUCCGGACGAAACGUAGCCGCAUUCCACUCCACUCGUCUUCCUAUAGUACCAAGCUCCUCGCUCACAAUCUCCGGCGUUCUCGUCCAUGGAGGCCACAGGACCCGACUCCGAGAUGUCCGGAUCGAAGUCUGGGAGCUCAUACCAUGCAACCCCGAGGAGCAGAUGACAGUCCGCGCUGCUCUCCGGUGCUCCCGGGAGGAGUGCCCUCCCCCGAUCUUACUCGAUCCGCCGGGCAUCCAUUGCCCAAAUGGCGCUCUGCGCCUCCAUGAGUAACUGUGAAUCCAAAAUUUAGGCGUGAAAAGCCCUCCACACGAGGCUGGGCGCGUGACUUCAACCAGAGGCGGCUUCGACCCCUUGCAGCGGAGGCAGCUUCUUUAAUGCUCACGUUGGACGCAGCAAUGGCAGCCUACGACGCGGAGGCGGCAUCGUCAGUGUCGGAGGAAGCACUGCGUGCCCGCAUAGCCGAGAAGCAGCGACGGAGGGCGGUGAAGGAGAUGGCAAAAGAGCAAAACCGGUCAAUCCGUGCCAUGGCCGGACUAUUCCACAAGGAGGAGAAGGCUGAGGACGGCAACAGAUCAGAUAACUCCGGCAUUGAGCAGAUCCGCCUCAAUCUGUUCUUCGUCUUCGAUCACUACUGCCGCACGGAUUACGGAAAGGGCAAAGGCAAGGGUAAGGGUAGGCGUGGAUGAACUUCUCCCAUUGUGGCUGAAUUCAUAGUUAUUAAAGCAUGUGAAUUUUUUGUAGUUCGAUGACAUCUAUUUAGCUACGUUCGUACCUUCAUAAGAACAAUAUAGCUUAGAGGAUUCAAUUUGAUAUAUCCGAUUGUGGAUAAAUUUUUGUGUGUGUUGUACGGUCACUGUCCGUGGACCGGAGUUUGGUACUUCAUGUUGUAGAAGCUCUUAUUUUGCAUAUCUUCCAGUAUUACGUGUCAACAAAGGAUACACAUUUUUACUAGUAGUACUGAUGAAUCUAGUCCUUCUUUUAACGAAUACUUUCGAUCUAUUCGUCCUCAAUCAUGACAGUACAACGAACAUAAAAAAUAAUAAAAGUUACAUCCAGAUACGUAGACCACAUAGUGAUGAGUACUAGCACUGAAGCGAGUCGAACGCAUGCUGGCAUCGCGCCUCCCUCGCUGGAGCCGGACAAAACAUGUUGUAGUAGACACAGUUGGGACAUCGUCGUGCUAAGACCUCAUAGGACCAGUGUAGCAUAACAUCAACAGCUGUCGAUGGAGGGUAGUGUAGAUCGAAACGUUCCAACCUGAAGUCACAUGAAUUUACAUUGGAUGGCUGGAAAUGGACGCCUCAUAAGAAACUGUUCUACAAAGGGCAAGAUCGUGCUAUAGAUUUUAGAAAAGUUUAUUUUGUGCUAAACUUACCCAAAAGGUUAAAACAGUGAUUUUGGCGUCAAUUCAACCAAGUACGAAUGAUGUUCCAAUGCCAGUAUUUACUGGCCCCUGCAACGACAGUGAUGACAGGGUCAUGUCGGUGGUGCGAUGGCACGUAAUCAUCAGACAAUGCAAGCCUCGCUGCUUUGUCCUGUCAGAUUUGGCACCUCGGUUUUCACCGCAAGAUCAUUGGCAGAGCUUGAAGUCAAUUGUUGGGCAGGCCAAGAAAAUAACAUGUGGACUGGUAUUCUAAGGUCCACGAGUGCCUUGCCAUAGUUCCGCCCGGUGAGCAAGAUGUCAGUAAAAUCAUGGAUCUUGACUAGACAUGUGAACCCCUAAAAAAAAGACUAGGAAUGUGCUGUGAGUAUCUAUAUCUAUAUUUAUAACUUUUUUGUUGUAUUUAACAAGCGAACAUUUUCUUUUCUAUGUACACCCCAACAAACGAACAUAGACAAAUAAACACAACGUGAAAUUCUACAGCUAAGAUGGAUCUAAUUCACCGUAACGCAGUUUCAACAAGUCCUGCAUGGCCAUGGUAUAUGGGGUACUGAUUCCUUCGUUGACUUUACUAGGAUGUGAUGUGAUUACAUUCCUUCCUGUGAGUUAAACCUGAACGGCUUUCGUCAUAUGAUACACCAUAGUACUUUCAUGUUUUUUAGGAGGGUAGUUCUUUCCUGUGUUACGAAUAUGAUUACUGUGGUGUUGCUGUAUAUUUUUUAUAUGGUUAGUUCUUAAUUUUCUUCAUUAUUCAAAAUACUUGUAACAACUAAGAUUUCAUUAUUUUUAUUUACCAUCAAGCAGUAUAUACUGUUGUUGUUUGUUGUCCACCUUCAUCCUUUGCUGAUAUUUUACCUAGGCAACUUCGCAUGAAAUUAGGAAUUUAGGAUCACUUAAUAAGACUCUGGCAACUUUUUUGAAUUUUCUUGCUUUAUACAUGAACCUAUCAUCAAGAUUUGGAUCUCUUAUAUGGUACCUUUUCUGCUGUAGAUAUGUUGGUGUUGAUUUGCAGUAAGAGGAAAUGUAUUAUUGUUCUCAUCAAUUUCUUUCAUACCAUACGUAAUGCGUUACAACAUCAGUUUCAUUGGGUUGCAAACGGUGAUAAGCAUGCAACCAUUCUUACUUGAGGCUUCACUAGGAUCAAUUUUGAGUUCGUCCAGGUUCUGAAUAAUUAUUCUGUAUCCGGGCAGGCUACCAAUCUUCAUCAACGAGGAUGGGGUUGUGAUGGCGGAGGCGACGUUGCUGGAUGAUGCUGCGAGUAUAGUGGGUGGGUGUAAGUAAAUCCCUCUGUGCUAGCAUGCAGCGGGUCUGUGGACAGGGAAAGCCACACAAAGAAUGCAGUGUUCGCGGCGUCCGAGCGGGAAGGGGGACAGGCAGCUUGCCAUGAUUGAAAAACAUGACGACCGUGCAGAUAUAGGGUCAGUGAUGCUGACAGGGAAGAUGGACCUCAUGUGCCUGGGUGGGCGAAGAGUUAAAUGGUUUGAUUUUUUGUGCAUAUGCUUAUCGUCAGUGAGGAGUGGGUGAUUAAAUACAUUAACAAUAAACUGAAUGUGUGAAUCAAACACAGAGAUGGACUUGGUGAAAAAGCUAAGGGAAAAUAACAUAAAUGUCGAAAAAGUGUAUAGUAUCAUAUGAAGUUUAUUAGGGGAUAUGGAAAAGGUCUCAUUUACUAAGAGGUCGCUAUGUAAUCUCUGUGGGAAGCUAAACAAAAAAUCGAGCCGAAGAUGACGUGUGCAAGACAAUUGAGGUGUUUACAGAUAUGGCGGCCAAGGAUCCAGAGUUUGUUUUCAGAGUGCAGCCGGAUGCUGAGAGUGGGAGUAAGUACCUGUUGUGGGCUACCGGCAGUAGCAAGAACCAAUACAUUUAAGGAGAAAAUGGGCAAAGCCGAUCUCAAUGGAAUUUUCUGUGAAAAAUGGUGAUCACCCAGAGGAUCGAGAGUGCGAACAGCGUGUUCAAAUCUUAGGUGCCGCUGGACUGCCCGAUGCUGAUGUUUGUGAAGCAAUAGAUGCGUUUGCAGUUCCACAGGGAAGCAGACAAGACCUGCGACGAAAAGUGUAUGAAGACUCUCAGUGUUUCGAACUGUACAUAUUGUAAUAAGACUUCAGUUACUUUUGGUGCCGACAUGAACAACUGCAGGGGGUGUUGUAGUGUAGUUGCAGGGGCGACAAGUCCAUUGAACAACAUGCUAGCAAUAUAUACACUAGGGUGACAUUUGAGAAAUUCCGCAACCUCAUAUACAAGGCCCAGGCUAGUCACAUACACAGACAUGCACCUCCCUCCGAUUUUAUUUACUCCGCAUAUUAGUUUUCGUCAAAGUCAAACUUUAUAAACUUUGACAAAGUUUAUAGACAAAAAUAUUAACAUUUGCAAUAACAAAUCAAUACCAUUAGAUUCAUUAUUGAAUGCAUUUUCACAUCAUAUAUAUUUGUUAGUGUAAAUGUUCAUAAUUUUUUCUAUAAACUUGGUCAAACUUUAUAAAGUUUGAUUUCAGUCAAAUCUAAUGUGCAGACUAAAUAAAAACGGAGGGAAGCUGACCAUGGUUUGCUUGUGUCCAUUUUCCUGCAAACUAGGGAAGCAGACAAGUACACACACCAUGGUUCAUGACUAUACUUUUUCUAUACGUGUUUUCAAAGUUUGUCAGUAUUAUUAUGCAAAGACAACUUGUCAUGGUUCUGCAUUGUUGUAUUCUUUCAUUUGUCAAUUUCUUUUGCUUUGAAACAAUGUUGAUUGGCUGACAGAAUGGUUCUGCGUGGCUUACACGCUUAGACCUACUAGAAUAUUAAAUUCUAUUAGCAAAUACAUUGAGAACAAUGUUAACGUUUUACAUCUUGCUACAUGAAGCUGUGUACUGCAGGAACAGUGUUACAAUUUUCAGUGGACAUUGACAAUAAGAUUGAAGAUAUAUAUUUCUUGAUUGGAAAUAAUAUACCAUAAAUGUAAUUCAACUGUGGAUACAGUGACAACUUUAUGCCCAGAAUAAUAAGUGAUUAUGUGAGUUAUAAAUUUUAUGAGGUGUAGGAAUUGAGACCGGUGACAACAACAUGUGGAGCGGCGCAACAAGUGGUGCUUCGGGGGUACCGGACCCAGCGUAGUCGGACAAAUCCAAUGGUGUGCAUGUCCCGAUGUACAGCUCGUGAGUGGUCCAAUCACGGAAUGCGAUUGCCCAGCCAAUUCCUAGCAUCGCCCUAUUUGGAUAAGGGGCACGUCGGUUCAUGAAACAAUCAACAUGUCUUUAUGACUUGGGAAUAGGAAUUCUAUGCAGUUUGCAUCAAAUUUGAAAUUCUCAAGAGAGAUAUUUUAUGUUAUGAUAGAAUAAUUGUGUUUCAUACUAUAACAUGCUUUUAGUCGAGACGUGUGUUGCACGUGCAUGCUUACUACUCCCUCCGUUCCUAAAUACUUGUCUUUCUAGGCAUUUCAACAAGUGACUACAUACGGAACAAAAUGAGUGAAUCUACACUCUAAAAUAUGUCUACAUACAUCCGUAUGUAGUAGCCAUUUGAAAUGUCUAGAAAGACAAAUAUUUAGAAACGGAGGGAGUAGUAUGAUAAGCAAGCAAUAUGAUCUCAUCUUACUUAUCCUGCUACUACUAUUGUUUUGUUUGCUACCAAUCAAACUGAACAAGCUGACCAUGGUUUGCUUAUGUUCAUUUUCCUGCAUGUAGCCAGGAGUGGCGCAAGAUGCCACACUCUUCAGCGACAGAUAGCUUCUAUGAAAGGACACUCCACCACGGCUGAUUUGCCACUACUAGGGAAAAUCCUAGCAGUAGCGCGGGUUUUUGGCCUAUCAGUAGCGCAGGUAGUCGCGCUACUGAUACGGCGCUACACCUAAAGGUUGGCAGUAGCGUUUGUUGACAGGCGCUACUGCUAUAUCUACUUAGUAGUAGCGCGUGUUGCAACAGCCGCUACUGGUAAUUACUAGCAGCGCGUCUUACUGCCCACGCUACUACUAUUAUUCUGUAUUCUAUUUCUUUUUUAUUUUAUGUCGUAUUCAUACACCUUUAUAUAAGUUUUCAUACAAUAGCAAUUUACAUAUUAUUUUUACAUUAUAAUGAGUUAUUAAGUCACUAGGUGAAAGAACCGCGGAUUAGUUUCAUGUCAUGGAUUAUCAUGAUAAUCCACGACAUGAUCACUUAGGAUCCAUCCACUUGAAACUAAUCCGCGGUUCUUUCACCCAACGAUAUAAUAACUCAUCAUCAUCAUCAUCAUCAUCAAUAUUAAUAUAAAAACUCUUGCUUCAUAUCAUCACCAACAACACUAGCUAAUAAUCAUCAUAGUCAUUACCACCAACACUAUUUAAUCAUCAUAGUCAGUGUAAUAUCUAAUCACCACCAACACUAGCUAACAAUAAUCAUCAUAGUCAUCACCACCAACACUCAUUCUAGCUAGGUAAUCACUCAUGCUGCUCUCUCUCUGGUAAAAUAGCAUAGAACAUGUGUAGCACUCCUGAUUCAUCAUAUUAGAGCAUGCAGAUGAACCUUUCUCCUAAUUAUGGGUUGCGCUUCUGAUUGCUGCCCCCAAGUACUUCUCUGCGAUCCUUCACAACUUUUCUCCAGUCUUUGACUAUUAAGACUUGCUCGCUUUUAGAAAUCCUGAAUGCACUCAUGUGCAAUGUAGGAUGUCUUGACCGCAAGCUAACCAUGGACAUGCAACCUUUAGCCUCGAUCCAAUGAGGCACAACUAUCAUCAUGGGUCCCUGUUGAAGAACAUCGUAGUAACAUACUUAGCAAUGAAGUUUAGCUUAAAAAAUAAUGUAUGCAAAAGAUGCACUGAGGACAAAUAGUAAAAAUCUUACCAUCUUUCCUAAAUAGAUGUUACCAUAGUUCAGUAUGAACACUAUUGAUCGUACGUUUUGAGUACUAAGAUUUUCAAGUUCAGGAAAAUAAUUUGUCUUGACAGUAUGAAGAUCCUCAAGCCAUGAAACAUAAUGACUUAUCUCCUCGCAGUUUAGUUCAGCACUGAGACAGUAGUAGGUCAUGUCUACCAACCCUCGAGUAUGUUUGCUUGAAUGGAAAUAAGUUGUUAAUAGAAAUUAGUUGUCAACUAUUUUUGAAUAAACAGUGUCCAAGACAUAAAUAUGGUUGAGAAACUCACAUAAUGGUACAACUGGAGGCGUUUGUACAUCGACCCAGAUUUUGAUAUUACCUUUAAUAUCAUCUUCCGGAUGAAUAUCAAAGGUGAUAAGCAAAUCAGGCUCAAAUGCAUAAGCCUUGCAUAGUGCUCUCCAUUUUUGCAUUCAAAAUGGGUGUAGGUGUCUAAAUUAUAUAAUUUUGCGGCAAAAGUAUAACCAUGCUCGGUCAUCAAGUUAACUCUUUUUACCUCCAUAGUUUCCAUAGUACUUAAACCAACCUUAUCCAAGACAUACAUUUUUGCAUGGCAGGGGAUAUGCUGGUCGAAUAGUAAAAAAUUAAAAUUAUAAGUAGCAAAAGAAGCAGAAGUCAUGCUUAAUUACAAAAAAAGACUUGUCGUUGUGACUUACUGUAUCCACUUCGAAGGUGUCAUCCAGCUUGAUGCUGAAGCGCCUACCACCAACUAGGUGAGGCCUGUUGCAAAGACCACACUCGUCUUUGCAGUAUUCGCACAUAUUGAAUUACUUUUCAUCGUCAGACAUUUCCUAUGUUCAUAGUUGAAACAUUUUAAAAAUGGACCUAAGGCAACUACCAGGAAACUCAACACAUAGAUCAGUAUUACUCAAUAUGCAACGGGUUGACUUUAGGUCUGUCGAGUCUUCCUUCCUAAACUCUCAUCUCACGUGCACUCCCUCUCUGAUACUGUGACCGUCGGUGAUGGUCGCUACUCCUCCUUUCCCUGGUGCAUUAUAAAUAUCUAGCACAAGAAAAAGAAGGAGAAGCGACCCCCAUGACAACAGUCGGCAUUCUUCUUCUUUCAUAUAUGGUGGACACUCCCUCACCGAUUUUUCGACCGUCAAUGAUAGUCGCUAUUCCUUCUUGCCCUACUGCAUAACAAAGGUCUAGCACAAAGAGAAGAAGAAGAAGCGACCCCCACGACAACAGUCGACAUUCUUCUUCUCUCAUAUAUGAUGGAGACUCUCCCUCACCGAUUUUUUGACUGUCAUGUAUAGAGCCCCGACAGACUAAAAGUCAACUCGAAAUGUCGUUUAAUUCACUUUCUAGCAAAUCCGGGGCACUCGAUAUUUCCUACAUAUUCUAGCACAAGUCAUUCUUAAAUUGACGGAAAAAUUCGGCAUGACCUUUGCUAAAAUAGGACAUAUCGAGAUCCUGAAAUUUGCCGGAACGGAAAUGAAUCAACACUACGGAAAAACACAGGUCACUGGAAAUGAAUCAACACUUCGCACAUGAGCAUAAAUUGGUGCUCAUUGCAUUUCAAUGGUUCAAUAUUGAUAAAAACAUUUCAACAUAUCUUAUAAUCUGAACAUUUCAAUAUAUCUUAUAAUUCGAACAUUUCAAUAUAUCUUAUAAUCCAAGCAUUUCAUUUGGUUAAGAAGCAUAACUAAAUACCCUAGUUCAGACAUUUAGGUGGAGAAGGAGGAGGUGGACUUUUAGCUCACCGACUCGGGUGUAGAGGAAGUAGAGGUAGCUCAGAUGACGAUCACUCCAACGAGACACGGCUAAGCCUGCAUAUUCCACCGAGUAAAAUUUUGAUUAGAUCAUCAAAUCUCAUAUAGCAUUCUUUGAUGACAAAGUGAUAAUGACAUAAAUUCAACUAGUCCUAUUAAUUCAGCUAAUUCAACUAAGCACUUACUAGAAAUAAACUAGUUCUAUUAAUUUUCUUACUAAAAAUAGACUAGUUCUAUAGUAAAAUUUUCCAUGUUCAAGAAAGCGUUUUUAGGCGGCGCGCUUAAGCGUGCUUAAGCGCUAAGCGACAGCUAAACGCUUCCCUUCCGCCCUAGGCAGAAGUUUUAGCGUUAAGCCAAAAACAGGAUUUAGCGGCCGCUUUAGCGCUGAGCGCUGGCUAAGCAGUCACUGAGCAUGCUUAGGCAUUCAAAAAGCGAGGAAUGGGCCACGAGAUGGAGGUAAAAGGUGGGUAUAAAGGCCUGGCCCAAUACUUGCAUGUUCGGCUAGGGUUUACUAGGUUAGAAGGGGAAGGUGAGAAGAGAGCUCCAGUCCAGCUGCUCCUGUUCUGCAUCCAACUCAUCUACAUGCAUUCUUCCUCCUUGUCCCCGGACUGGAUCUGAACUACUGAUUGGGCUGGGCUGGGGCUGCUGUUUGGCUGCUGCUGCUUGCCUGUACCUGCCAUUUAUCUUAUAUGCUCUAAGACAAUAUUAUGCACUUAUGCUUGCUGUGUGAACCACUGAAUCUUGUCCUUAUGUGUUAUUUGGCUAUUUGUUGUGGUGUGUGAACCACUGAACCUCAACCUUAUAUGUUAUUUCAGAUUUUCAGUUACCUAUGUGCUAUAUUUCUGUUUUCUUGUGCAUAUUAUUCAAAAACUGCCAAAUUCUGGCCAAUUAAAAUUAAAAAAAACGCUCAUUGUCGUGGUUCUAAGUCUGACAGUAGAAUGGGGGUAGGUAUGGGGAGGCAAGAUCCUAGCUAUUGGAGCAGUUGUACACACAUGUGUUUUACGAGUUCAAGCCCUUCUCAGAAGAAGUAACAGCCCUACGUCCUGAAGCCCGGAGGCGAUCGACUGGAUUAUGUGUGUGAUAGUUACAGGGGUGCGAACCCUUCUACCAGUGGAGGGGGGUGGCUUAUAUAGAGGACGCCAAGGCCCCAGCCAACCCACGUAGCAGAGGGUUAAAGUACAUUAAGGUCCGGCGUUACUCGUAACGCCCUACAUAAAGUGCCAUCAUGACCAUUAAGACUACUUAAUUACAGACCGUUUGGAUACAGAGUAGAUCCUGAACUCCUGAUGGUCGAGUGAGUCUUCAUGGUCGAGAGUCUUCAGGUUCGUCGAGUGUCUUCUAGCCGGUCGAGUGGAAUCCCUCUUGGUCGACUGGAAGACGGCUUCUUCUAAGAGAUGCCCUUGGGGAGGGUACCUUGGACAGGUCCGUAACCCUACCCUAGGUACAUCACUUCAUCAGUAGCCCCCGAAUGGAUCGAGGUUUGAGUGAGGACGGAGUUGGCAAUCUUUCUGACCUGCUUUCUGGUACUGUAAAGGUGUUUUUGCUCUGGAUCAAUGACUUUCAAGUGAGGGUGUCAACUUUCGUUCAGUCGCCUUGAUCCAUUCUUUAUAUCUAUCGAGUGAACUUUAUGAACUUGGAGAUUUCCGAGCGACGGAUCGCAGGAGAUCUUCCGUCUGACAAGUUGCCCUGUGGUUAGCGGACUUAGUGGGAUCCGGAUUUUGGGGAAGCGCGCGAAGCGGCGAAAGCCGCGGUACUCGGAUGGGAUAAGGCAGGGACGCCUCGAUUCCCGCGCCGCCUUUUUCGCCACGUAUCGCAUGCGCGACUGUUUCGGGAUUUGACAGGACUGCCUGGGCCUACCCGUCAGCCACUCGGAAGUGACCCCAUAUAAGGAACCAGGCGGAGGUUUUCCGAACAGUGCCUCCUCGCCAUCUCUUUUCCUCCUCAUUUUCUCCUCCCUCGUCUCCAGAUUCAUCUGCUGCGCUUGUCAACUGCCCAGCACCGCUGCUCCGUUCUAGCUUCAUCAGCGACAAUGGUGAAGGAGAAGACGGCGGCUUUGGAGCGGGCGAAGAAGGCGACGGCGCGAGCGAAGGGGAGAGCGCCCAGUCGGGGUGGAUCUUCAUCGCGGUCUCUCCUGCCGCAGGGUUGGAUCCAAGGAGAUUGGAUCCGCUCGACCAUCACCCAGAAGGACCUCGAUGACCUAGCCAAUGAGGGGUUGAUCGAGCACGGAGCAACGAGGCUUCCGGGGGUGGAGUGUCAACUGCAACCUCAGGAGGGUGAGUGCGUCCUCUUGGCGACUCAUGUAGAUCGAGGGUUUUGUUUGCCACCGCAUCUUUUCUUCCAAGGAUUUCUGAAUUUCUUCGGAGCUCAGCUUCACCAUUUUACUCCAAAUUCCAUCACCUAUCUCUCCGCCUUUGUAUCUUUGUGUGAGAAUUUCUUGGGUUGCCGGCCGCACUGGGGCCUCUUCAAACAUAUAUUCACUUGUCGUUCCCAGACGGUGAAAAAGGCCAGCCCCAACGACCAGAGAACCCAGGUGAUCCAGAUGUGUGGGGGUCUCGGGGUCCAGAUGAGGAGCAAGAGCGCUUUCCCUGCUAUGACCCUUCCCGAGUCGGUUAGAGGGUGGCAGUCGACCUGGUUCUACUGCCAAGACCGGUCGACGCCAGGGCAGUCGACCGGGCUCCCUCCCUUCUCUAUGAGUUGAGUGAACAAGCCCUCCUGUCUGAAAGUAGUUCCGGAGGAGAAGGCUGAGGUGAAAAUGUUGAUGGAGCGAGUAGUUUAGUUGAUUCGUGACGGCGUGACCGGCAUGGACCUUCUGGAGGUUUUCCUUCGGCAGCGCAUCCAACCACUCCAGUACCGGGGCCACCCGAUGUGGCUGUAUUCUGGUACUGAAGACACCAGUCGGGUCCACCCAGAGGAGGUCGACCAUGCUACAUUGGAGAGGUGGAUGACUGCCAUCACGGGGAACAAGGACAACCCUCGUGGAGCUAGGAGGAUCGUUCCACUCGACCAAUCUUAUGAGGUGGACAAGGUACGACUAUUUUCCUCCGAUUGUUCCGUCCAUUCUGUUUCAUCAUAAAUCAGUCGAUUGACCUUUGUCUUGCUUGCUAUCUUUCAGGAAACCACUGAGUUGUACUCGAUGCCCAACGGGGCGCAGGCACAGGCCGAAGAGGAGGAAGGAAGCGGAAGCGAAAGUCAAGAGGAGUGGGAGUCGGACGCCGAUGAGGGUGAGGAAGACGCAGGUUUUGACGAAGAGGAAGAGGAGGAGGAAGAGGAGGAGGAAGUUGCGCCUUCUCGUUCCGAAAGGAGGUCCAAGCUCGCCCAUGACCCUGCGGCUGAUCGUGGCAAGGGAGUCGUGCCUGCUGGGCAGUUGACUAAACGUCCUCGGACAACUUCACCGGCGCCGACUGAAAAGGCGUCGAAGCAACCCCGAGCGGCCCCGUCAAAACCGGCGAAAGCCCUACCGAAGAUGAGGAUGGAGAUUCCGACUGUCUCUGGGUAAUGGUCCUAACUCACGUUUCCCAUUUUUUGUCGAUUCAAUCGCUGACCGACUGAUAUUUGCAAAUCGCAGUGCUGCUACUUCUGAGACUUCAGCCAGGCAUGAGGAUCAAGAAAUGGAAGAUGCUGCGACUUCUCUGCCUGGUAUGAUCUGCGCGGUUUCACUUCCGUUCGAUUGAAUCUUUAUUUUUGAUUUUGAACUUCUUCUGCAGCUCCGCCUAACAUUGUCAUCAAUCUUCCUGACGAUGACGAUGAAGCGCCGCUGAGGCAGAGGAAGAGCAGGAAGGCGACUGUUGGCAAGGCUGCGCAGGUUACGUCGGCACCUGGACCACAGAUUCUCGAGGGGAGCAAUGUUGCUCAGGCUACCGUGUCCUUUGCGGAGCCGUUGACGGUUGCCCGCCCUUCGUCAUUGAGUGCUGACCCGCCUUCUCUCUUCUCCACCUACCACGUCCCGGAGGAGCAAGCAAGCGCUGCCAAGGAAGCCAUACGUCAGGCCGGGAUUAUGAUGGAGAAGGUGAAGGCGAUCCGAACUGCCAGCCAAGCAGCUUAUGACGCGAGCUCAGCUCUCCAGAGCAAUGUCCAGGUUAGUUGAACACCGACUGGAAAUCUUGAUAUUUGUCAUGCACCCACUGGGUGUGUCAAUUCUACAGUGGACUGCUGGCAGUCGACUAUAGUCUUUGUGUCUUGAGAUUUCUCACUUUACUUGUUCCACUAGACCAUGGUCGAGUGGAACAAUGAAACUGGUGGGGGCAUGCUGAGUGCACCCACUGGGUGUAGUCCCAGAGACCGUGGUCGAUUGCUGGCAGUCGACUAUGCUCUGAUUUUUUUUUGAUAGUUAACUACUUCUGGUCGACUGAUCAACUCUGAGUCUAGCUGAUAGAACUAGUGGGGCACGCUGAGUGCACCCACUGGGUGUAGUCCCCGAGACUACAGUUGAAUGUUUAGAUUCAUCUGUAGUCUUAGAAAUAGUACGAUUUUUCCUUUAGUCACUCGGAAGUGAUCUGCUGUUGAUGUUUGUCGACUAAACUUUCGCAGAAAUCUUGUGACCUUGUUUCUCGCUAUACCGAAUUGGAGAACAAGUAUAUCCAGCUUGAGCUUGACCAAAAGCUUGUCCAAGAGAACUUCACGAAGGCGAAGGAGGAGGCAAAAGGUAUGUUCGGUGAGAAUCUUGACGACUGUCUUCGCUUCUUGCCUGUCUCCGAAUCUUAUCUUAUUGUGAUUUUCGCAGAAAAACUGAGGGAUGCUCUGAAGAAGAAGGACCUUGACCUUGCCGAGGCGCAGAAAACGGCUGCAGACAAGACUAGGCUUGCAGAAGAGAAGUUGGCUUCCGUCAACAAACUUGAAGAAGAAAACACUAAUCUAAAAGAUGCUCUUGACGUGGCCAACCAAGAAGUCACUCGACUGAGGAAUGCCAAUAUGGUCCUGGACGACAAAGCUGGUGAACUGGCAGAAAAGAAGAAUGACUUGGAGCUUUAUCUGGGAGGACUCGCCAAAAAGUUGUUCCUCAUGCUCGAAGGUAACCUCUUAUCUCCGAUUGGUAGUUACCGACUUGCUGUAGGGGCGUUAGCUUAUCCUUGAAUCAUGUCCACAGAAUUCUGCCAAAACUUUGAAGAGGAGACUAGUCGAGUGGAGACUGGCUUGGAUCCCAUCAAUUCUCCGGUGAAGGAUGAAACUGCUAUGAACGUGCUCCUCCUCGAGUCCCGCAUUGCUGCAGUGGUCGAUUACCUGCAAGACUGAAGGCCGCUAUAUCACGCAUCGACACAUCGCUCUGGCCAGAAGAAACGCUUCAGAACGACCUUGAGUCGCUGAUGACUCGACUGAACGAGAUUCCGGGUCGAGUGCAAGAGUGGAAGAAGUCUUCUGCCCAGUGCGGUGCUGACGUCGCUCUGUCCUUGGUCCGUGUCCACUGCAAAGAAGCGAGAGAAGACAAGCUGGUGUCUCUCAAGAUGGCCAAUACUAGGAAGCAUGACUUCCGUUCUUUCAUGGAGACCUUCAUCGCGGCCGCCACUCGGAUUGCAGAUGGGAUUGACCUGGACGAGUUCGUUGCGCCUUCCAGCCCUCCGCAAGAGGGGUAAAAACUGUUAUGCUUGACGAUUUGAAUUUGCCUCGGAAUGCCGAGUGAUUUUUGUAACCGCUAAACUUUAACAGGCUUGAUGCCUGAGCACUCCUAGGUCCGUAAGACGUUAUCCGAACUUGAUUUGCCGUUUGAAAUAUGUUUGCUUCUUUUGGGCAACCAUCUUCUUUGGGUUGGAGUAUAUACUAGCAUCUGUAAUGCUCUUUUGCAGGUAAGAGUGGAGCACAAAUUGUCGUCGACCUGUGCUCGUCAUGUUCGGGCAAGUGCUGAGUUGCAGCUAAGCCACCGAGUGGGAGGUUUGCUCUCCACUCGGUAGGUUUUUUGGAAACUUAGGCGAGCGCUGGGCUGCAGCUAAGCCCCCAAGUGGGAGGUUUGCUCUCCACUCGGUAGGUUUUUUAGAAACUCAGGCGAGCGCUGGGCUGCAACUAAGCCCCCGAGUGGGAGGCUUCCUCUCCACUCGGUAGGUUUUUUAGAAACUUAGGCGAGCGCUGGGCUGCAGCUAAGCCCCCGAGUGGGAGGUUUGCUCUCCACUCGGUAGGUUUUUUAGAAACUUAGGCGAGCACCGGGCUGCAGCUAAGCCCCCGAGUGGGAGGUUUGCUCUCCACUCGGUAGGUUUUUUAGAAACUUAGGCAAGCGCUGGGCUGCAGCUAAGCCCCCGAGUGGGAAGGUUUGCUCUCCACUCGGUAGGUUUUUUAGAAACUUAGGCGAGCGCUGGGCUGCAGCUAAGCCCCCGAGUGGGAGGUUUGCUCUCCACUCGGUAGGUUUUUUAGAAACUUAGGCGAGCGCUGGGCUUCAGCUAAGCCCCCGAAUGGGAGGUUUGCUCUCUGAUGGAGUUGUGUACCUAGGGUAGGAUCAUGGACCUGAUCCAAGUAACUUACCCUAGGACAUCCUUAGAAGAGGUCGCCUUCCAGUCGACCAACGAGGAUUCACUCGACUGGCCUGAAGGACUCGACCACGAAGACUCACUCGACCACCAGGAGGUCAAGAGGCACUCUGCACUGCAACGGCCUGUAAUCAAGUAGACUUUAUGAUAGUAAAGGCACUUUAUGUGGGGCGUUACCAGUAAAGCCCCAGACUUAACUCACCUUAAACCCUCUCCUGCGUGGGCUGGCUAGGGUCCUGGCGCACUCUAUAUAAGCCACCCUCCUCCACAGGCAGAAGGGUUCGGCACCUUGUAAUUCAUACAUUCAUAAUCCACUCGACCGCCUCCGGGCUCCGAGACGUAGGGCUGUUACUUCUUCCGAGAAGGGCCUGAACUCGUACAUCCUUUGUGCUUACAACCUCUCCAUAGCUAGGACCUUGCCUCUCCAUACCUACCCCCCACUCUACUGUCAGGCUUAGAACCACGACAGUUGGCGCCCACCGUGGGGCCGGUGUUUUAGCGAUUUUGUGGAGAAGUUGCGAUUCUUCCGAGUACUCUCAUCAUGGUGUCUGCUGGAGUUUUGGUCAAGGGUCAAGAGAUCCGUCUCGGCACUCUCACCUUCAUCGCCGACGACUCCGCGUGGCUCCAGGAGGCUCCACUCGACGUAGACGCGCUCCCCGUCCGCGGUGCGACGCAUUUUCGCGCAUGUGUCCGCGGCGUUCUGCUGCGGCAACCAUCGACCCAGUAUCGGUCGGCUCCUCCAUCGUCCACCCUCCCGGUCUCCCGCCAGCGCAAGCGCUCAGGCCCGUCGAGGCUUCAGCGAUGGGUGAGUCACGCGGUGGCUCGCCAAUCGGCCACUACACAAGUUGCGGCAAUCGAGCCCAACGAAUCUCUCUACGGCUUGUUCGAUCAGUCGACUGGCUCCGGAGAGACUGCAUCCGAGUGCGGAAGCAGUGAUCCAGCGGCGGAAAUCUUGAUGGUCGACGGGCCCCACAGCCCUCCUGGCUUCACCCGUGGUGGUGGAGCAGGUGACGGCGGCGACCUUGCACGAGACUACGAAGAGUACCAGCCCGAGCCACUCGACUCUCUGCAAAGAGAAGAGCUUCUCCGCAGGAACGAGGAUCCCCUGCGUAUUCCCAUCGCAGGAGAAACCCCCGAGGCUCGUGCCUUGGAGGAGGCGCGUCUGGCCAAUUUGGCCGAGCGCACUCGACUGGAGAACCUUCAGCGAGCACUCGACGAGCGCGCGCGGCAACGAGUUCCCGACACCAGUCGACGUCAACUCUUCCCGCCGACUCAGGUAUAUCGAACCCCAAUUCAGAAUUUAGCAGCUGCGACCCGUAUAGCAGAGUCCAUUCAGCCUUCGCAGUCGGAAGCUGGCAGAGGUUUGCUGUAGAUCAGGGAUCUGCUCCGGGCAGCAGGAGAUCAGAAUUCAGCCGUGUCUCAGUCGCGCAACAGAAUUCACAGUCGAUCUGUCACUGUGAAUACGGUUCAGUCGGCUCACAGCCCCAGAUCGCCUCCGCGGCGCGAAGGGCGUGAGAAUCGGCGAGAUCAAUAUGGCGACAGACUCGAGCGAGAUGAUAGGCGUCGAGUGCCCUAUUCCCCUCCGAGGGGUGGGUCUUACGCUCCUCGGCAGCCAGAUGAGAGGCGUCAGUACAGUACAGGGCGUAGGGUUCCAGUUGACCCCAGAGAGCCAGGUUUCGACGCGCGAUCCAUUAUCGUGCAAGGGUUGGUCGACCGGAACAGAGCCCAUCGAGGCGCACUCGACAGAGAUGUACCCACGAGCAGUAGAGUACAUGUUUCUGGUCCUGAAUGUUUCAGCAGAGCUAUCAGAGCCGCAGUUAUCCCCCCCAAUUUCAGGUUGGCAACAGGAGUCAGCAAGUUCACUGGUGAGUCUAAGCCUGAAACUUGGCUUGAAGACUACCGAGUGGCGGUUCAGAUCGGUGGUGGGAACGACGAGGUGGCCAUGAAGCAUUUGCCCCUCAUGUUGGAAGGUUCUGCCAGGGCAUGGUUGACUCAAUUACCUCCUAGCAGCAUUUACACUUGGGAAGAUCUGUCCCGAGUGUUCGUCAGAACGUUUGAAGGGACUUGCAAGCGACCAGCGGGAUUGACAGAGUUGCAAGUCUGCAUGCAGAAAACUAAUGAGACUCUCAGAGAGUAUAUUCAGAGGUGGAUCACUUUGCACCACACUGUGGAAAAUGUCUCUGAUCAUCAGGCAGUAUGCGCCUUCAAAGACGGCGUCAAGAACAGAGAACUGAGUUUGAAGUUUGGUCGAACCGGUGACAUGACCUUGAGUCGGAUGAUGGAGAUUGCUACCAAGUACGCCAACGGCGAAGAAGAAGACCGACUCCGAAGCGGCAAGCACAAGCCGAGUCAGUCGGAAAAAGGAAACACCAGUCGGAAACAGAAGUGGAAGGCUGAACCGGCAGCUCCUGGAGAGGCUCUAGCCGUGACUCAAGGAAAGUUUAAGGGGAAACCAAAAGGAUCCUGGAACCCCAAGAAGGUAAAGGAUAAAGAAGGGAACAGGGAAGAAGAAGGAAAAGCUCUCAAAGUUCAGCGCUCAGUGUAUUAUUUGUCUGAAGUCUUGACUCCAUCCAAGCAGAGAUAUCCUCAUUAUCAGAAGCUUGUGUAUGGAAUAUACAUGACCACAAAGAAGGUUGCUCAUUAUUUCUCUGACCAUUCCAUCACAGUCGUCAGCGACGCUCCACUAUCAGAGAUUUUGCACAACAGAGAUGCAACUGGUCGAUUGGCCAAAUGGGCGAUUGAACUUCUUCCCCUUGAUAUCAAGUUUGAGGCAAAGAAAGCCAUUAAGUCCCAGGCGAUAGCAGAUUUCCUCGCCGAGUGGAUUGAACAACAGCAGCCGACUGAAGUUCACUCGGAGCAUUGGACCAUGUUUUUCGAUGGCUCUAAGAUGUUGAAUGGUUCCGGUGCGGGGGUUGUCCUGGUUUCCCCCAGAGGAGAUAAGCUCAGAUAUGUGCUCCAGAUUCACUUUGAUUCCUCCAACAAUGAGGCAGAAUAUGAGGCCCUCCUAUAUGGGUUGCGCAUGGCCAUUUCACUCGGCGUCCGUCGCCUAAUGGUCUAUGGCGACUCUGAUUUAGUGGUCAAUCAGGUGAUGAAAGAGUGGGACGUGAGAAGCCCAGCCAUGACUGGAUACUGCAGUGCAGUGAGGAAGCUGGAGAAGAAGUUCGAGGGGUUGGAGCUCCAUCAUAUACCCCGACUGAAAAAUCAAGCAGCUGAUGAUCUAGCAAAGAUAGGUUCCAAGAGAGAAGCCAUUCCGAGUGGUGUGUUCUUGGAGCAUAUACACACUCCGUCAGUCAAAGAAGAUCCUUUCACCGAAGAAACUCCGCAGCCCAAGAGCGCCACAGAUCCGACUGAAGUUGAAGUCCCAGCGGUGGUCGACUUGAUCAUGGAGGUUUUGGUGGUCAUUCCCGACUGGACGAUUUCGUAUGUCGCAUAUAUCUUGAGGAAAGAGCUUCCGGAGGAUGAGGAAGAGGCUCGACAGAUCGUCCGUCGAUCUAAGGCCUUUACCGUAAUCAAAGGACAAUUAUACAGAGAAAGCGCGACUGGAGUCGGUCAGAAGUGCAUAACACCAGAAGAAGGUCGACUCAUCCUCAAUGAUAUUCACUCGGGGACCUGUGGUCAUCAUGCGUCCUCUCGGACCAUCGUGGCCAAAGCAUACCGAGCCGGAUUUUACUGGCCCAAGGCGAAUGAGAUGGCAAAGGAGAUAGUGGAUAAGUGCGAGGGAUGUCAGUUCUACUCGAAUAUGUCGCACAAGCCUGCGUCAGCUUUGAAGACCAUCCCACUCGUCUGGCCUUUUGCAGUUUGGGGGCUGGACAUGAUCGGUCCUUUGAGAACAGGACGAAGUGGCUUCACGCAUGUACUGGUGGCAGUCGACAAGUUCACCAAGUGGAUCGAGGCUAAACCAAUCAAGAGCCUUGACACCGGUACUGCUGUUAGCUUCAUCAGGGAACUAAUAUUCAGAUAUGGAGUCCCGCACAGCAUCAUUACGGAUAAUGGGUCGAACUUUGACUCAGAGGAAUUCAGAGCUUUCUGCGACUCCCAGGGCACACGGGUCGACUACGCAUCAGUCGCCCAUCCGCAGUCGAAUGGACAAGCAGAGCGAGCUAAUGGACUGAUUCUCAAGGGACUGAAGCCUCGACUGAUGCGUGAUCUCAAACACGUGGCUGGAGCUUGGGUCGACGAACUUCCAUCUGUACUCUGGGGACUGCGGACCACGCCUAAUCGGUCGACCGGAAGAACUCCAUUCUUCUUGGUCUAUGGAGCUGAAGCAGUCUUGCCGAGUGAUCUUCUCCACAAUGCUCCUCGAGUUGAAAUCUACAACGAAGCAGAAGCUGAACAAGCGCGGCAGGACGCAGUCGACCUUUUAGAGGAAGAAAGGGAGAUGGCUCUGAUCCGAUCGACCAUCUACCAACAAGUUCUGCGCCGUUUCCACGCCUGAAAUGUGAGAGGUCGAGCCUUCCAGGAAGGGGAUUUGGUUCUCCGAGUGGAUCAGCACAAACCACACAAGCUUGCUCCUUCUUGGGAAGGCCCCUUCAUCGUCACCAAGGUUCUCCACAACGGGGCGUACCGUCUUUACAACGUCGAACAUAAUAUCGACGAGCCCCGAGCUUGGAACGCGGAGCUACUCCGCCCAUUUUACACUUAAGUUUUGUCACUCGGAUGAGUGGCAAUAAAGUACUUUUGUAGUUCAUGGACCUCAAAAUAAUAGUGUCAUAGUUCCUCCACAAUAUCUGUCACUUUUUAUUUUUAUUUUCCAAUAAAAUUCCCCUCAGUGGGUGACUUAGUUGCGAAUCCGUUUCGCCUAAGUUUGUAAAAAUCCUACCGAGUGGUGAGCCAGACUCCCACUCAGAGGCUUAGCUGCGAAUCCGUUUCGCCUAAGUUAUCAAAAUCCUACCGAGUGAAGAGCAAUCCUCUCACUCGGGGGCUUAGCUGCAGCCAUGUGCUCGUCUAAGUUAUCAAAAUCCUACCGAGUGGUAAGCCAGCCUUCCACUCGGAGGCUUAGCUACAGCCUCGUGCUCGCCUAAGUUAUAAAAAUCCUACCGAGUGAAGAGCAACCCUCUCACUCGGAGGCUUAGCUGCAGCCUCGUGCUCGCCUAAGUUAUCAAAAUCCUGCCGAGUGAAGAGCAAUCCUCUCACUCGGGGGCUUAGCUGCAGCCCUGUGCUCGCCUAAGUUACAAAAAUCCUACCGAGUGAAGAGCAACCCUCUCACUCGGGGGCUUAGCUGCAGUCCAAGCACUCGCCUAAGUUGUGAAAAUCCUACCGAGUGAAGAGCAAUCCUCUCACUCGGAGGCUUAGCUGCAGCCUCGUGCUCGCCUAAGUUAUCAAAAUCCUACCGAGUGGUAAGCCAGCCUUCCACUCGGAGGCUUAGCUGCAGCCUCGUGCUCGCCUAAGUUAUAAAAAUCCUACCGAGUGAAGAGCAACCCUCUCACUCGGGGGCUUAGCUGCAGUCCAAGCACUCGCCUAAGUUGUGAAAAUCCUACCGAGUGAAGAGCAACCCUCUCACUCGGGGGCUUAGCUGCAGCCCUGUGCUCGCCUAAGUUACAAAAAUCCUGCCAAGUGGAGAGCAACCCUCUCAUUCGGAGGGCUUAGCUGCAGCCCAGUGCUCGUCUAAGUGGACUAAAGAAUAAGUCGAUUGCAGCACAGGCACCUUGCUUUGAACCUGCAAAAGACAUUCCGAGCCGAAGGCAAUCGUAUUCAAGCACCAAAUCCAAGUUUGAAUCGACAUCUAAAGGAACCGAAAGUGCUCAGGCGUCAAGCCUGUUAAGGUUUGUCGGUUAGAAUUUCACUCGGCAUACCGAGGCAAAUUUAAAGCGUCGAGCCAGAAGAAGUUUUUUACCCCUCCUGUGGAGGGCUGGAAGGUGCGACAAAUUCAUCAAGGUCAAUCCCGUCGGCGAUCCGAGUGGCAGUUGCAAGGAAAGUUUCCAUAAAGGAUCUGAAGUCGUGCUUCUUGGUAUUGGCCACCCGAAGGGCCGCCAGCUUCUCUUCUCGCGCAUCUUUGCAGUGGACUCGGGCCAGACACAGAGCGACAUCUGCACCACACCGAGCCGAGGACUUCUUCCACUCCUGCACUCGACCAGGGAUCGUGUUCAAGCGGGCCAUCAGCGACUCAAGGUCAUUCUGAAGUGUCUCCUCAGGCCAGAGCGUCGAGUCGAUGCGAGAUGUGGCGGCCUUCAGCCUUGCGAGAUAGUCCACGACAGCUGCAACACGAGACUCCAGUCGGAAAACAUCCAUGGCAACUUCGUCGUUCACCGGAGAAUUGACGGGGUCAAGGUUUGGCUCCAGUCGGCUGGUUUCUUCUUCAAAGUUUUGACAAAAUUCUGCAAGGGUGAUCACUAAGUCAAGGAGAUAGUCGAAUGGAAAAAGCCACAAUUGGAAAUAUUUACCAAACAUGGAGGUCUACCUUCAAGCAUAAGGAACAACUUCUUGGCAAGGCCACUCAGGAAGGCCUCCAGUUCAGUUUUCUUCUCAGUCAAUUUGCUGACUUGGUCGGUCAGGGCAGCUUUGUCAGUUUUCAGUCGACUGACCUCCUUGUUGGCAAUCCCAAGAGCAGCUUUCAGAUUGGUAUUGUCUUGUUCGAGCUUGGUGACUGAAGCUAACUUCUCGUCAGCAAGCUUGAUCUUCUCAGCUAGCUCAAGGUCUUUCUUCUGCUGGGCCUCCCUUACCUUACCUGCAAGUUACAGCAAGAUCAGAUGCUGAAACAAGCAAGGGGAAAAGCAGUCGUCAGGGUCUCACCAAACAUACCUUCGGUCUCCUCCUUUGCCUUUGUCAGCUUCUCCUGAACCAGCUUCAAGCUCAGCUCGACUUGAGUAUGUUUUUGUUCCAGCUCUGAGUAGCGAGCCACAAGAUCACAGGAGUUCUAUGAAGAACCAAUCGACUAAAUGUCAAAUAUAAUUCACUUCCGAGUGAAAAAGGGAUAAACACACGUUUCUAAGACUACAGCCAAAUACAAGCAUUCGACCGUAGUCUCGGGGACUACACCCAGUGGGUGCACUCAGCGUGCCCCCACUAAUCCUGUUGAAGACAAAGUCGACCAGUCGACCUCAAAAAAAAAGAGAGAUGCAUUCUCUAAGACUGUGAUCAACUGCAAGCAGUCGACCACAGUCUCGGGGACUACACCCAGUGGGUGCACUCAGCGUGCCCCCACCGGUUUGUGAAAUCCAGUCGACAUAGUCGACUGAAAGAAAAAUUGACGUCAUAAAGCCUAAAGCCGACUGCCAGCAGUCGACCUUAGCCUUGGGGACUACACCCAGUGGGUGCACUCAGCGUGCCCCCACCGGUUUGUGAAGUCCAGUCGACCAGUCGACUGACAGAAAGAUUGACAUCAUAAAGCCUAAGGCCGACUGCCAGCAGUCGACCUUAGCCUUGGGGACUACACCCAGCGGGUGCACUCAGUGUGCCCCCGCUAACACGGAGUUUAUUUGACACACCCAGUGGGUGACUAAUAUAAAUUCCGGAAAAGAAAAGUUUUUGGUAGCAUAUCCAACAGAACAAACAGCGGUCGACUGACCUGGACAUUGCUUUGGAGGGCAGAACUGGCGUCAUAAGCUGCCUGGCUCGCGUCCCGGAUGGUCUUCAGCUGCUCCAUCAUGAGUCCCGCCUGGCGUAUUGCCUCCUUCGCUGCGCCAGCUUGGUCCUCUGGGACGUGGUGCGUCGUAAAGAGGGAGGGCUGCUGAGCACUCGUCAGUGGAUUUGCGAAGGACACCGUGUGUCGAGUGGUGUUCCCUUCCUCCACAGUCAGAAUCUCAGGCGCCGUCACAUCCUGAGGUACCUUACUGGCGGACGCUUUCCGACUCCUCCUGCGUGUCAGUGGUUCUUCAUCCUCGUCGUCGUCAGGGAGAUUGAUAACAGUGUUGGGUGGAGCUGCGGAGAAGGAUCAGGAUCAGAGAUCGCGAGUCAGUCGACUAAGAACGGUGUUAAGAACACAGUACCUGGAUUCGAAGUUGCUGCAUCCUCCAUCUCGUGGUCAUCAGCCCGGGCCGAGGUCUCAGAAGUAGCAGCACUGCAACUCCAAAGGAUCAGUCGACUAACUUCAGCGUCGACCAGAGAUAAAGUUCGCACAGAAUAAGAAAAUAUGAGCAGCACAAUUACCCUGAUAUGGUGGGGAUGGACACCUUCAUCUUCGGCAGGAGCUUGGUCGGCUUUGGCGGAGCCCCCCUAGGCUGCUUCGGCGCCUUUCCAGUCGGCGCGGGAGAAGUGGUCCUAGGGCGCUUGGUCGACUGCGUCGCAACCCCCUUGCCACGUUCAGUCGAAGGGUCGUGGACGAGCUUCGACCGCCUUUCCGAGCGCGGUGGCACGACCUCCUCCUCUUCCUCCUCGUCUUCGGCGUCAUCAUCAUCGCCGUCGUCAUCAUCGUCGUCGUCGUCGUCCCCUGCAAUGUCCGAGUCCCAUUCCUCCUCGUCCUGGCUCUCGCCCCCACUCGCCUCACCCUCCUCAGUCGGAGUUUGUGCCCCAUUGGGCAUCGAGUACAGCUCGGUGAGGGCCUAGCAGAUAUCAAGACAAUGAUCAGUCGACCAGUCGGCAGAGUAAACAGAGAUGAAUGCGACAAGAAUGCAGUGGAGAGCAGGGCAAGUGUACCUUAUUUGGAUCACUGUUGUGGUCGAGUGGAGGAAUCCUUCUGGCUCCGCGUGGGUUGUCCUUGUUUCCGGUGACGGCUACCAUCCAUCUUUCCAGAGUGACAUCGUCGACUGCUUCUGGAUGGACUCUAGUCUCGUCUUCGGUCCCACAGUACAACCACAUGCAGUGGCUCCGGAACUGGAGAGGCUGGAUGCGACGCCUGAGGAAAACCUCCAGGAGGUCCAUGCCCGUCACUCCCUCCCGAACCAAUUGCACCACGCGCUCCAUCAACAUCUUCACGUCAGCUUUCUCCUCCGGAAUCAGCUUCAGAGGGGAAGGCUUGCUCACUCGGUCCAUGGUGAACGGAGGGAGUCCACUCGACUGCCCUGGCGUCGACUGGACCUGGCAGUAGAACCAAGUCGACUGCCAGCCUCUGACGGACUCGGGAAAGGUCAUGGGCGGGAAGGUGCUCUUAUUCCUCACCUGAAUCCCCAGGCCUCCGCACAUUUGGACGACUCGGGUUCUCUCAUCACCUGGGCUCGCCUUCUUCAUGGUCUGAGAUCGACACGUGAAUAUAUGUUUGAACAAACCCCAGUGCGGUCGACAGCCCAAGAAACCCUCACACAUGGACACGAACGCGGCAAGAUAGGCAAUGGAGUUUGGGGUAAAGUGGUGGAGCUGCGCUCCGAAGAAGUUCAAAAAGCCACGAAAGAAAACACUCGGUGGCAAGGAAAACCCGCGAUCAACAUGGGUGGCCAAAAGCACACACUCACCCUCUUCUGGCUGGGGCUGCCACUCCUUCCCCGGAAGCCUCGCAGCUCCGUGGGGGAUCAAGCCCUCGUUGGCCAUGUCGAGGAGGUCAUUCUCCGUGAUGGUCGACUGGAUCCAGUCUCCUUGGACCCAGCCCUUCGGCAGGCGGGAUCUGGACGAGGACCCUCCGCGGCUGGUGGAUCUUCCUUUCGCCUUCUCCGAUGCCGACGCCUUCUUUGCGCGCUCCAGCGCCGCCGUCUUCUCCUUGGCCAUGGUCGCCAGCGAGAUGCGCAAAGGGAAGUGGUGCGGGGGCGAGAGGGAGCAUGCUGAGCAGGGAGGAAGGAAGCAGAGAGAGGGGAAGAAUGCUAAGGCGCAGCACAGAAAUCCUCGCCGGGCACAUUUAUAAGGUCCCUUCCAAGUGGAUGAUAGGUGGGCCCGGGCGAUCUAAUCAUAUCUGGAACAGUUAUGCAGGCAGGAUACGUGGCGAAAAAGGCGGCGCGGAGAUCGAGGCGUCCAUGCCCCGUCCCAUCCGAACGCCGCGGUCCGCCCCGCUUCGCGCGCGCCCCAAAAUUUCGCAUCCCGCGGAAUCCGCGAGCAACAAAUCAGUCUGUCAGGCACGGUGUUUCCGGCGAUCCGUCGCUCGGAGAUCGUCGAAGCCUGAAAGAUCACUCGACGCAAAAACAGAAUGGAUCAAGUUGACUGAAGGCAAUUUGUUUCCUGUCGACAAAGGGAUUCUCCUUCUUCACUCGAAGCCUCGAUCCAUUCGGGGGCUAAUGAUGGAGUUGUGUACCUAGGGUAGGAUCAUGGACCUGAUCCAAGUAACUUACCCUAGGACAUCCUUAGAAGAGGUCGCCUUCCAGUCGACCAACGAGGAUUCACUCGACUGGCCUGAAGGACUCGACCACGAAGACUCACUCGACCACCAGGAGGUCAAGAGGCACUCUGCACUGCAACGGCCUGUAAUCAAGUAGACUUUAUGAUAGUAAAGGCACUUUAUGUGGGGCGUUACCAGUAACGCCCCAGACUUAACUCACCUUAAACCCUCUCCUGCGUGGGCUGGCUAGGGUCCUGGCGCACUCUAUAUAAGCCACCCUCCUCCACAGGCAGAAGGGUUCGGCACCUUGUAAUUCAUACAUUCAUAAUCCACUCGACCGCCUCCGGGCUCCGAGACGUAGGGCUGUUACUUCUUCCGAGAAGGGCCUGAACUCGUACAUCCUUUGUGCUUACAACCUCUCCAUAGCUAGGACCUUGCCUCUCCAUACCUACCCCCCACUCUACUGUCAGGCUUAGAACCACGACACUCUCCACUUGGUAGGUUUUUUAGAAACUUAGGCGAGCGCUGGGCUGUAGCUAAGCCCCCGAGUGGGAUGUUUGCUCUCCACUCGGUAGGUUUUUUACAAACUUAGGCGAGCGCUGGGCUGCAGCUAAGCCUCCGAGUGGAAGGCUGGCUUACCACUCGGUAGGAUCUUGUUUUACUUAGGCGAGUACUUGGACUGCAGCUAAGCCUCCGAGUGGAAGGCUGGCUUACCACUCGGUAGGAUCUUGUUUUACUUAGGCGAGUACUUGGACUGCAGCUAAGCCUCUGAGUGGAAGACUGGCUUACCACUCGGUAGGAUUUUGUUUUACUUAGGCGAGUACUUGGACUGCAGCUAAGCCUCCGAGUGGAAGACUGGCUUACCACUCGGUAGGAUUUUGUUUUACUUAGGCGAGUACUUGGACUGCAGCUAAGCCUCCGAGUGGAAGACUGGCUUAUCACUCAGUAGGAUUUUCGAAAACUUAGGCGAAACAGAUUCGCAACUAAGCCUCCUAGUGGAAGGCUGGCUUACCACUCGACAUGAUUUUUUACAAGCUUAGGCGAAACGGGUUCACAGCUAAGCCACCCACUGGGGGACAGAUUUAUGAAAGCAAAAGCAAUAACAAUCUCUAGGAAAAUUAUGAAACUCUUGUCUUUGAUGAAUACACUAUAAGAGUACUUUUAUUACAACUCAUCCGAAUGGAAAACUUAAGUGUAGAAAGGGCGGAGUAAGUCCGCGUUCCAUGCUCUGGGCUUGUCGAUCUGGUGCUCGACAUUGUAAAGGCGGUAGGCCCCAUUAUGAAGAACCUUGGUGACGAUGAAGGGACCUUCCCAAGUAGGAGCAAGCUUGUGUGGUUUCUGUUGAUCCACUCGGAGGACUAAAUAUCCCUCUUGGAAAGCUCGACUCUUCACAUUUCUGGCAUGGAAGCGACGCAAGUCUUGCUGGUAAAUGGUCGAUCGGAUCAAGGCCAUCUCUCUUUCUUCUUCUAGAAGAUCGACUGCGUCCUGUCGGGCCUGCUCUGCUUCAGCUUCGGUGUAAAGUUCGACUCGGGGCGCGUUGUGAAGCAGGUCACUCGGCAAGACUGCUUCAGCUCCGUAGACCAAGAAGAACGGAGUCCUCCCAGUCGACCGAUUUGGCGUGGUCCUUAACCCCCAAAGCACCGACGGAAAUUCGUCGACCCAUGCACCAGCUGCGUGUUUGAGGUCGCACAUCAGUCGGGGUUUCAGUCCUUUGAGAAUUAAGCCAUUUGCUCAUUCUGCUUGUCCAUUCGACUGUGGGUGAGCGACUGAAGCGUAGUCGACUCGCGUACCCUAAGAUGCGCAGAAGGCUUUGAACUCUUCGGAGUCGAAGUUUGACCCAUUGCCCGUGAUGAUACUGUGGGGAACUCCAUAUUUGAACACCUACUCCCUGAUGAAGCUGACGGUGGUGCCGGCGUCCAAAUUCUUGAUGGGUUUAGCCUCCAUCCACUUAGUGAACUUGUCGACUGCUACCAAUACAUGGGUGUAGCUGUUUCUGCCUGUCCUUAGAGGUCCAACCAUAUCCAGUCCCCACACAGCAAAAGGCUAGACGAGUGGAAUGCUCUUCAAGGCUGAGGCGGGUUUGUGUGACAUAUUGGAGUAAAAUUGACAUCAUUCGCACUUGUCGACUAUCUCUUUCGCCAUCUCAUUUGCUCUGGGCCAAUAGAAACCAGCUCGGUAUGCUUUAGCCAUGAUGGUCUGAGAAGACGCAUGAUGGCCGCAGGUCCCCGAGUGGAUGUCGUUGAGAAUCAUUCGACCUUCUUCUGGUGUUAUGCAUUUCUGGCUGACUCCAGUUGCACUUUCCCUGUAUAACUGUCCCCUCAUGACGGUGAAGGCUUUGGAUCGGCGGACGAUCUCCCGAGCCUCUUCUUCAUUCUCAGGGAGCUCUUUUCUCAGAAUAUAGGCGAUAUAGGGCACUGUCCAAUCGGGAGUGAUGACCAGAACUUCCAUGACCAAGUCGACCACAGCUGGGACCUCGACUUCAGUCGAAUCUGUGGCGCUCUUUGGCUGCGGGGCUUCCUUGGUGAAAGGAUCUUCUUGAACCGACGGCGUGUGAACAUGCUCCAAGAACACGUCACUCGGAAUAGCUUCCCUCUUGGAACCUAUCUUGGCCAAGUCAUCGGCUGCUUGAUUUUUCAGUCGGGGAACGUGAUGGGGCUCUAAUCCCUCAAAUCUCUUCUCCAGCUUUCUGACUGCAUUGCAGUAUCCAGUCAUGGCUGGGCUUCUGACGUCCCACUCCUUCAUCACUUGAUUGACCACUAAGUCCGAGUCGCUGUAGACCAUGAGGCGAUGGACGCCGAGUGAAAUGGCCAUACGCAACCCGUACAAGAGUGCUUCGUAUUCUGCUUCAUUGUUGGAGGAAUCAAAGUGAAUCUGGAGUACAUAUCUGAGCUUAUCUCCUCGGGGGGAAACCAAGACCACCCCGGCACCGGUACCAUUCAGCAUUUUGGAGCCAUCGAAGAACAUAGUCCAAUGCUUCGAGUGAACUUGGGUCGAUAACUGCUGUUCAGUCCACUCGGCGAGGAAAUCUGCUAUUGCUUGAUACUUGAUAACUUUCUUUGCCUCAAAUCUGAUAUCAAGGGGAAGAAGUUCAAUCGCCCAUUUUGCCACUCGACCGGUUGCGUCUCUGUUGUGCAGAAUCUCUGAUAAGGGGGUGUCGGUGACGACUGUGAUAAUAUGGUGAGAGAAGUUGUGGGCAACUUUCUUCGUGGUCAUGUAAAUCCCAUAUACAAGCUUCUGAUGAUGAGGGUAUCGUUGCUUGGACGGGGUCAGGACUUCGGAAAUGUAAUACAAUGGGCGCUGAAAUUUGAAGGCUUUUCCUUCCUCUUUCCGCUCGACCGUAAGUACAGUACUAACGACUUGUCCUGUGGCUGCAAUGUAAAGCAGCAAAGGCUCUUUGCUAAUUGGGGCAGCAAGCACCGGCUGGGUGGAAAGCAGGGUUUUUAACUCUGCAAACGCUGCAUCAGCUUCUCGAGUCCACUCGAACUUGUCUGACUUCUUCAUCAGUCGGUAAAGAGGCAAUGCCUUUUCACCGAGGCAAGAGAUGAAUCGACUUAAUGCGGCCAAGCAUCCAGUAAGUUUCUGGACAUCGUGCACAUGCACAGGGCGUUUCAUUCGGAGUAUAGUGCCAACUUUUUUCUGGGUUAGCGUCGAUUCCCCGUUCGGAAAUGAGAAAACCGAGUAACUUUCCGCCAGGGACUCCGAAUGUGCAUUUUGAUGGAUUAAGCUUGAUAUCGUACCUCCUGAGGUUGGCAAAUGUUUCAGCUAGGUCAAUCAGCAGGUCGGAACCUUUCCGUGACUUGACCACAAUGUCAUCCAUGUACGCUUCCACAUUCCGACUGAUUUGAGUGAACAAACACUUCUGAAUCAUCCUCAUGAACAUGGCUCCGGCAUUCUUGAGGCCGAAUGGCAUGGUGACAUAACUAAAGCACCCGCAUGGGGUGAUGAAAGCCGUUUUGAUCUCAUCGGGUCCAAACAGACGGAUCUGAUGGUACCCGGAAUAAGCGUCCAAGAAAGAAAGUCGCUCACAUCCCGCAGUCGAGUCGACUAUUUGGUCAAUGCGGGGAAGAGGAAAAUGAUCUUUCGGGCAGGCCCGAUUGAUAUGCUUGAAAUCGAUGCACAUGCGAAGAGAAUUGUCCUUUUUGGGGACCAUGACGACAUUGGCGAGCCACUCGGAGUGGUAAAUCUCUCGGAUAAACUCUGCUGCUAGGAGCCGAGCCACUUCUUUGUCAAUGGCCUUCCUUUUCUGGACGGCGGACCGUCGCAGAUGUUCCUUCACAGGUUUUUCCUUCGAGUCGACUCGUAGACGAUGCUCAGCCAGUCCCCUGGGUACACCCGGCAUGUCAGAAGGUUUCCAUUCGAAGAUGUCCCAGUUCUCACGGAGGAACUGGAUGAGCGCUUCUUCCUAUUUGGGGUCGAGUGUUGUGGAGAUAUGAGUCGGAGCAGCGUUUGGGUCGGUCGGGUGGAUGUGAAUGGGUUUUGUCUCACCGGACGACUGAAACACUGAUUCCGUGGCAGGCUUCUUGGCUCGCAACAAAUAACUCGGGUCUGCGUUCCUUUGGUGUUCCUGCCACUCUUCUGCCACCAUCUGAGCAUCGGCGCUCUUCGAGCCCUUUUGGAAGCACUCUUCUGCCUUCUUGCGGUUACCAAUGACAGUGAUCACGCCUUUAGGGCCUGGCAUAUUUAGUUUGAGGUACAUGUAACAAGGUCGAGCCAUAAAACGUGCAUAUGCUGGUCUGCCCAAAAUUGCAUGAUAGGCACUCUGGAAAUCCACAACCUCAAAUGUCAGCUUCUCUUUGCGGAAAUUCUUUGAAUCGCCAAAAACUACAUCAAGAGCAAUCUGACCGAGUGACGCGGCCUUCUUGCCAGGAAUGACUCCAUAAAAACUCAUAUUUCUCGUGCUCAGUCUGGACAUCAGAAUGCCCAACCCUUUCAGUGUCUCAGCAUACAGUAUAUUCAAACUGCUGCCGCCAUCCAUCAACACUUUGGUCAGUCGAGUGCCCUCAACGACCGGGUCGACCAUAAGCGCUUGCCUCCCAGGGGUGGCUAUGUGCGUGGGGUGAUCAGAUUGGUCGAACGUAAUGGCAGUCUGAGACCACUUCAGGUAAUUGGGUGUUGAUGGAGCAGCCAUGUUCACCUCUCGGUUUAUAACUUUCAGUCGGUUUUUGCUCUCAACAUCGGCAAAAAUCAUCAAGGUGGAAUUGACCUGCGGGUAUUCUCCGUCACUAUCCUCCUUGUCCUCAACUUUGUCCGACUCUUUUUCUUUGUCCUUGGACUGCUUCCCCUGGAACUGCUGUAUCAGGAGUCGACAUUGUCGAGUGGUAUGCUUCGGGUAGAUGAAAUUACCCUCUUCAUCCUUCUUAGUGUGGAUGUGACAUGGCAAAUCCAACACAUCAUUUCCUUCCUUAUCUUUUACCUUCUCGGGGUUCCAAGGCCCCUUGGGUUUCGCUUUGAAUUUUCCUUGGUUUAGGGCAAAGGCUUCUCCAGGUGCGGCUGGCUCAGCUUUACGCUUUUGCUUCCGACUGGAGUUUCCACCUCCGGUGUCCUGGGCGACUGACUUGUGUUUACCGCUCCGGAGCUGAUCCUCUUGCUCACCAUUGGCGUAUUUGGUGGCUAUUUCCAUCAUUCGACCCCAGAGAACCAGGCUUUGAUGCAAGAUCCAUCAUCGUUCAAGGUCUGGUUGACCGGAACAGAGCCCAUAGAGAGGGUAAUGAUAGAGAUGUACCCACCAGCAGCCGAGUGCACGUCUCCGGACCAGAGUGUUUCAGCAGAGCCAUCAGGGAAUUCUUCGCCCGCCACUGUACUGGCGUCUGUCGUCCUACUGUCGAGGCAUAUAGGAUCCACCCUUCCGGGGAGGAAUGGGCACUCGACGUCGAUCGUUGCGAUCGACUCGGUGAUCAUCCUGCUCAUAGUUCCUGUACUGAUCGUGUUAGUCACCGUGCCCUUCACGCCUCGGGGGCGAUCUGGGGCUAUGAGCUGACUGGACAGUAUUCGCCGCCACGGACCUGCUAUGAAUCCUGUUCCGCGACUGCGACACAGCUGAAUUCUGAUCUCCCGGAGCAAAUCCCUGAUCUGCAUCAAGCCUCUGCCAGCCUCUGACUGGGAAGGCUGAAUCGACUCUGCUAUACGUGUUGCAGCUGCCAAAUUCUGGAUUGGAGUGCGGUAUACCUGAGUCGGAGGUUUAAAGAGUUGGCGUCGACUGGAGUCUGGAAUCCGUUGCCGCGCGCGCUCCUCGAGUGCCCGCUGAAGGUUCUCCAGUCGAGUGCGCUCAGCCAGGUUGGCCAAGCGCGCGUCCUCUAAGGCGCGAGCCUCAGGGGUUUCUCCAACGAUCGGAGUAUGAAGCGCAUCCAUGUUCCGGCAGCGAAGCUCUUCCCUCUGCUGUGAGUCGAGGGGCUCAGGGCGGUACUCCUCAUGGUCGUGCGACGGGUCGCCUCCGCCGUUGCCUCCCUCGGUCCCAGGAAAGCCGGGGGGGACGUGUAGUCCAUUAACCAUCAGGACCUCCGCCGCCGGAUCACUGCUAUCGCAUUUGGAUGCAGUGUCUGCGGAGCCAGUCGACAGGUCGAACAGGCCGUAGAGAGAGUCGUCGGGCUCGAUUGCCGCGACUUGGGCAGUGGUCGACUGGCGAGCCACUGCGUGCCUCAUCCACCGCUGAAGCCUCGACCGACCGGAGCGCUUACGCCGGCGGGAAGCUGGGAGGGAGGAUGACACGAAAACCGGCCGAUACUGAGUCGACGGUUGCCGCAGAAGGACACCGCGGACGCAUGCUUGAAAAUGCGUAGCUCCGCGGACCGGGAGCACAUCCACGUCGAGCGGGGCCUCCUGCAGCCAGGCAGAGUCGUCGGCGACGAAUGUGAGCGCACCGAGACGGAUAUCGCGGCCCUCAACCAAAACUCCACCUGAAACCAUGAUGAUGGGAAUUGAAAAGAUUGCAACUUCUCCAACAAGUCGCUAAGACACCGGCUCCACGGUGGGCGCCAACUGUCGUGGUUCUAAGUCUGACAGUAUAAUGGGGGGUAGGUAUGGGGAGGCAAGAUCCUAGCUACUGGAGCAGUUGUACACACAGGUGUUUUACGAGUUCAGGCCCUUCUCAGAAGAAGUAACAGCCCUACGUCUCGGAGCCCGAAGGCGGUCGACUGGAUUAUGUGUGUGAUAGUUACAAGGGUGCGAACCCUUCUAUCAGUGGAGGGGGUUGGCUUAUAUAGAGGACGCCAAGGCCCCAGCCAGCACAUGUAGCAGAGGGUUAAAGUACAUUAAGGUCCGGCGUUACUGGUAACGCCCUACAUGAAGUGCCAUCAUGACCAUUAAGACUACUUAAUUAUAGACCGUUUGGAUACAGAGUAGAUCCUGAACUCUUGAUGGUCGAGUGAGUCUUCAUGGUCGAGAGUCUUCAGGUUCGUCGAGUGUCUUCUAGCCGGUCAAGUGGAAUCCCUCUUGGUCGACUGGAAGACGGCUUCUUCUAAGAGAUGCCCUUGGGGAGGGUACCUUGGACAGGUCCGUAACCCUACCCUAGGUACAUGACUUCAUCACUUAUCCCCGUUAAGCUGCGCUUAAGCGGCCAUUGCUCUAAGCUGUGGCCUUCCGCUCCGCUUACUAACCGCUUUCUUGAACAUUGAAAAUUUAAUUAGAUCAUCAAAUCUCAUAUACCUAAAUUUUCUUACUAAAAAUAAACUAGUUCUAUUAAUUCAACUAGUUCAACUAAGCACUUACUAUAAAUAAAAAUAAUUAAUUUUCUUACUAAUUCAACUAAGAACAGUAAUAAAAUUUUAACUAGUUGGGAGGGAGGAGGGGGCGGGCCGNNNNNNNNNNNNNNNNNNNNNNNNNNNNNNNNNNNNNNNNNNNNNNNNNNNNNNNNNNNNNNNNNNNNNNNNNNNNNNNNNNNNNNNNNNNNNNNNNNNNNNNNNNNNNNNNNNNNNNNNNNNNNNNNNNNNNNNNNNNNNNNNNNNNNNNNNNNNNNNNNNNNNNNNNNNNNNNNNNNNNNNNNNNNNNNNNNNNNNNNNNNNNNNNNNNNNNNNNNNNNNNNNNNNNNNNNNNNNNNNNNNNNNNNNNNNNNNNNNNNNNNNNNNNNNNNNNNNNNNNNNNNNNNNNNNNNNNNNNNNNNNNNNNNNNNNNNNNNNNNNNNNNNNNNNNNNNNNNNNNNNNNNNNNNNNNNNNNNNNNNNNNNNNNNNNNNNNNNNNNAGUCAUCACCCAUGGUUGCAGAUAUAAUAAAACUACAUCUAACUCCUGCAUGCAUGAGCGAGUGCACAGAUCUCACCAUUAUCAAAUGGAUUGCUAUUUGCUGCGGGUGUGAGCAAAAAUUCCCCUGUUCUCAAAGAGGUGUCUGAGACAUUAAUCACUCAAAGAUUCUGCUGCUAAAAAUAUAGUGAUCGAUCGGUCUCGUGAGCUGCUGCUGGAGAAAAGAAGAGUCGCAAUCCAUUCCUCAACUAAAGCUAUCGUGAAUAGGGCACAGUCUCCAAACAGCUGGAAUCUUCACACGCCCAUCAUGAACACCCAAAGAUAGACAAGCACUGUAUGCAGGCGCCAUUGCUUCAUCCAUCCAUCCGUAAUUCCGUAUACAGACAGCACAUCACACAACACCUGUCAAAGGUGAGAAUGUCCCCUUGAAAACAAGUACUAGUAAGUUUCCUCUACACGUUUUGCCCGUGAUCCCAGAAACAUUAGCGUGAAUACGUUGUUUCUGACCAUAUCUGGGUCGUUUUAUCAUGCAUCACGUACCACACCAGACAUGGGUCGGCUAGGGGAGGGAAUUAAUAUAUACAUGUCCGUUGCUUUCUCUCGUUGCUAAUUAUGUGUAAUGUUUCUGUGCUUAUCGGUAUUUAGUUCAAUGUCGCCCCAUGGCACAUUGAAAAAGAAUAGUUGCUACCACCCGCUUGUCUUGUGUGUAAUGCAGACCUAUGGAAAUUGAGGAGGAAUAUGAGCUACUCAUAAAAGCACGUAUUUUGGACUGUAAGAUUAGACAGGGGGUUGCAAUCUUAAAAGCACGUAUUUUUUUCCGUUCAUAGACAUCUCUCAUACUUUAUUUGCAUGUCUUUUAUGUAUGCAUCAUGUUAUAACUUAUAACACACACCUGCAUCUUCAAACCUCGCUGUGAUAAUCACAUUAACCAAUUUCUUUGGACAUUUUCAAAUGCAGACAACAGCCAUUCCGUCAACUAUAUGCUUCUAAACGCAAAAGUGCAGCUGGGGGCUUGAGCAAUCCUAGCAUAUGUAAGCAUAGACUCGUAUUGGUUGCCACCCCCGCCCAGCAGGCUCAUGGGGGGACGAGCGAGGUUGACAUGCUUGCUCUGCCCAGCGCCGGCCCUAGAGGAUGAACCAAUAAUCAGUUGUUGGCACUCCUUCACAAAAUUGAUAAACAUACAUGAGAGUCUUGCAAAAUUGUUGGUCUCAUGAGAGUCUCGCAGCUUUAGCGUGAGAAGAAGAGUGCCACAGUGCGGUGCAAAAUGUUAAAGAACAUGAUUGUAACACGACCUUAAUUAAUAUGGAAAGAGGGUUUUGAGAGGGACUAAAGAUACACGAGAGAUUGAAGUUGUGAAGAUUGACCUGCUAAUAAUCCUCAUGAUAAGUAGUUUAUUUAUAUCUUGAACAUAGGUUACAACGAUGCCGUAAAGAUUAAUGACUAUAUAGUUUUGUUUUCUGAUUAAUAUGACAGUCUCAACAUGUAACUCCAACAGUAAAGAACAAGAUAUAUGCUACUCUUUUUAAUUUUAGUGAACAAAUAUUUCAGUCUGGUGGGAGUGUGGAUAGGAGGUUGGCACUGCCGCCACUAUGUUAAGUGAAGAAUGUUUGCGGCAUUCCUUAUCACAUUCUUCAGGCGUGGGAUAGCAAUAGUAUUUGGGAUCCACGAAACAACACCAAAAUAGCCGUCAUUGCAUUUUGUUUUAGGUGGUCCACACAAUCCAUAUGGUAGACUGAUCUUCCUGUUACCGAUGUCUUCGAUACUCCCAC
rnacentral:lncRNA from 1 species